rnacentral:lncRNA from 1 species
AAUAAACAUGAAAUUUCUCACCAAAUAGAUAAUGGUGCCAAAUCUUUAACGCAAAAAUAAUGGCUGCUAACUCUAAAUUGUGUGUCGGAUAAUUCUUUUCAUGCGCUUUUAACUGUCUUGAGGAAUCAGCUAUGACUUUUCCUUCUUGCAUCAAAAUGCAACCCAAAUCAUUCAAUAAUGCAUCACUAUAGAUUACUAAUUCUUUACUCGAUUCUGGUUGUACUAACACUGGAGCUUCAAUUAAAAGAGUUUUAGUUGAUCAAAACUUAUCUGACAUUUCUCAGACCAUUCAAAAUUUGCAUCUUUCUGAAGUAAUAUCGUCCAUAGAGUUGCAAUCAUUGAAAAGCCUUUUACAAACCGUAUAUUAUAUCCCGCUAGUCCUAGAAAACUGCAGACCUCAGAAACAUUUCUUGGAGGCUUCCAAUCCAUUAUUGUAGAAAUCUUACUCGGAUCGACUCGAAUACCUGAUGCUGACACAAUAUGCCCUAGAAAACUAACCUCGUGCAACCAGAAUUCACAUUUACUAAACUUUGCAUAUAAUUGCUUAUCAUGCAGAGUUUGCAAUGUAAUUCUCAGAUGAUCAGCAUGUUCAGUUUCAUCAUAUGAAUAAAUUAAAAUGUCAUCAAUGAAUACAAUGACAAAUUGAUCUAGGUACAGUCUAAAAACCCAGUUCAUUAAGUCCAUAAACAUAUCAGGUGCAUUCGUUAGUCCGAAAGGUAUAACCAAAAUUUCAUAAUGUUCGUACCUCAUUCUAAAAGUAGUUUUUGGUACAUCGGAGUCUUUAACUCGUAACUGGUAAUAACCCAAUCUCAAAUAUAUAUUCGAAAACACUGUAGCCCCUUUCAAUUGAUCAAACAAAUCAUCUAUUCUAGGCAGAGGAUAUUUGUUCUUGAUUGGCACUUUGUUGAGCUGUCUAUAAUCUAUACACAUUCUCAUAGUACCAUCUUUCUUUUUCACAAACAAUACGGGAGCACCCUAAGGCGAGAAACUCGAUCUUGCAAACCCUCUGUCAGUCAACUCUUGUAAUUGAGAUUUCAAUUCUUUUAACUCUAUCGAAGCCAUUCUGUACGAAGCUAUUGACAUCGGCGUAAUUCCCGACACUAACUCAAUGCCAAACUCAACCUCUUAGAUCAGUGGUAAACCCGGUAUCUCUUCAGGAAACACAUCUACACAACUGGUACUAUUUCAAUCUUCUUUUCAGUUACUUUCGUAUCACGCAUAUAAGCAAAAUAAUCUUUGCAACCCUUUCUCACAUAUUUCUGAGCUAUCAUCGAUGAAAUCACCAUAGGCAAGCCAUUCAGAUCAUCUGACUCAAUCUUGAUAAUCUCAUUAUUCUGACAUCUCAAGUCAAUCAUCUUUCGUUUGCAAUUCACAAUAGCAUCAUGAAAUGUUAGCCAAUCCAUACCCAGAAUUAUAUCAAAUUCAUCAAAAGGCAAUAACAUCAGAUCAGUCAAAAAAUAGGAAUCUCGAAUCAUCAAUGGAUAAUUCUUGCACACUUUAUCAACCAACACGUACUUGCCUAAGGGGUUUGAUACUCUAAUUACAAAUUCAGUAGAAUCUACAAGAAAAGUCUUACUGGAUACUAAUUCACACAUAUAUACAAAUGAGUUGAUCCUAGAUCUAUCAAUGCAAUAACUUUAGUACCGUAGAGAGUAAAAGUAUUGGUAAUGAAAUCUGGAAAUGACGCUUCUUCGCGAGCGCAAAUAGCAUAGGCUUGUGCAGGUGCUCUCACCUCUGAUCUUACAGCAGAGUCUUUAGUCGCUUUCUGGCUACCACUUACAUUUCCCUUGUUUCUGGGUGGUCUACCUCUAGCUGAAGUGUUACUCAGCCUCGUGUUUUGUACUGUAUCUUGUUCAACCAACUCAGGACAAUUACGAAUAAAAUGAUCCAAUGAUCCACAUUUAAAACAGACCCGAUCAUUCAGUCUACAAUCACCGGAAUGCCUUUUACCAUAAUGUUUACAUUCAGGUCGGUUAGGUCUUGCACUCCCAACACUAGCUAUCAAAGUAGCUGGAGCUUUGAAGCUCAACUGUUGUCUUACUUGAUCUCUAUUUGAAUGUCCCACCGAUGCAGUAGAACGAUUAAACGAGUCUCGAAAUUUCUUCGAUACAAACUGAUAAGAUUUAUUAGUUGAUCUCUUUCUCGAAUCUCUUGCUUCAAAAUCAGCUUUUCUCUUUUCUUUGCUGAGAUCCUCGGCUUUACAAGCCCUCUCAACCAGUACAACAAAUUCUUUCAAUUCAAGAAUCCCGACUAACAGUUUUAUAUCUUCAUUCAGUCCAUCAACGAAUCAUUUACACAUGAUCUCUUUCGUAGAAACAUAUUCUCAAGCAUAUUUGCUCAAUCGCACAAAUUCUCUUUCGUACUCAGUCACAGUCAUUCGACCCUGUUUCAAUUCUAGAAACUCUUUAUUCUUCUGAUCAAGGAAUCGCUGACUUAUGUAUUUCUUUCGAAACUCAGAUUGGAAGAACUCCUAGGUAACUCAUUCUCUAGGAGUCAUCGGUAUCAACGUUUUCCACCAAUGAUAUGCAUUAUCUCUGAGCAAAGAUACAACACACUUGAUACAUUCAUCAGGAGUACAAGACAACAAAUCAAAUACUCUGAUUGUGUUCUCAAGCCAAAACUUAGCCCUCUCAGCAUCAUCAUCAACUGUAGCCCGAAACUCUUCGACCCCUUGUUUACAUAUCUUAUCCACUGGUGGUUUACUCAAUCGAAUCGGAUCUAUCACUUGUGGUACAACUAGACUUGUUGAGGAAUAGGUGGGGUGGAGGUUGUUGAGCAGUUAGAUUCGUUCGUAAAAUUUUCAUGAACCGCUCACUCAUCAUUUGGAAGAAGGCUUGCUUAGCCUUUCCCUCUUGGCUACUUGAAAUAGGCCUAGAAUCGGCUGGCGUUGCCCCUUGAGCGGGAGCGGGUGCAUUACUUUCCACAUCGUUAGCUACAACUCAAUCAGGAUCCAUUUACUAUAUAAAAACACAUAUUUAACUGUAAGGAAUCAUCACACUAUCGUAGUUUAUAUAUAUGGCAUGUAUAGCUAGACUUUCACAUGCUACGUUAGUCCUUGAAUUAACUAAACUGUAGUCCUGAUACCAAAUUAAAUGUAACACCUCUAACCCGUCUUUGACGCCAGAUUAAGGUUACGAGGCAUUACCGAUCAAUACACAUCAUUCACAUACAUUUAUGCAUUCAAUAUCAAGAUCCAUUCAUCUCAAUCAUAUGGUCCCUUUUAAGGUCCUACGAGGCCUUAAAACAUGCUUAGAAGUGGUUCGGGACUAAACCGAUAACAUAUGUAAACUUUGAGAAACUUAUAAAAUUUUCUAACAUUUCAGGGUCACACACCCGUGUGAACAGGCCGUGUGCCUCACAUGGUCACCAAACACGUCAGUGUCAUAGGCCAUGUGAAAAUAAGGCUUACAUACUGAUUUGUACCACACGGCCGAAGACACGCCCAUAUGCCAGGUCGUGGGAAAACUUAGGAGGUUACUAACUUGGGCCACAAGGCCAACCACACGCCCAUGUGCCUAACCCGUGUACCCUUCGAUGGCCAUACAUGCCCAUGUGCCAAGGCUGUGUGACUCACACGGCCACUAGACACGCCUGUGUGUCUAAGCCGUGCACAAGACUGACUUGAAUUUCUAAUUAUUCACCAGGGGACAGACGCCCGUGUAACAUCAACGUGUCUGACACACGGUUGAGACACACGCUCGUGUCUCUAUCCAUGUGGACAAAAAUAGGCCAUUUCCAAAGCCACCCUUUCCACAAGCAGACAUAGCAACCAAAAUAGCACCAUUUCCAUACAUCUUUAACCAACCAAAAACAUGCCAAUUCAUACACAUAUCAUGUCAUUUAUUCACAACCAAUUCAACUACUCAAUUCCACAACUAAAACAUACCAUACCAAUAUGCCAAAAUCAUCAAACUUGCUUAUCUUCUAAUCUCAUUUACUCAUCAACUAAUCACCCAUUUCAUACCUCAAAAUGUACCAUAUCAUCAUCUCAAAAUCAAACCACAAUAUGCCAAUCUUGCAAGCACUAAUACAACAACUUACAACUAUCCAAAAUAACCAACAUAUAACCAUACCAUAUAAGCCAACAUAUAAGGCAUUAUAUACAUCACUUAUAUCACAUAUUAGACACAUAAUUCAAUCCAAAUUUAAUGGCCAUACACACCAACAUUUACAAGCCAAAUCUCAUGGAUAAUAUCACAACCAGAGUACCUUAACUAGCCUAUACAUGCCAUAUACCAUAUAUAUAUAUCUAUAUCUCAAAAGUACCAACUUAGGUGUUUGAUAGUGCGAUGAUGUUCCCGAUGAUCCCCGACUCCAAGCUAGCUUUGAUUCUCUAUAAAAUAUAAACAAAUAACACAUACUAAGCUUCAUUGCUUAGUAAUUUCGUACUAAAUAAAAUUGCCAGUUCAUAGUAUUCAAAUAAUCAAUUAAUAAACACUUAAUAAAUCUCAUAUCAUCACUCAAUUCUAACUCAUAACCAUUUAUCAUAUAUAUACAAAAUCCAUCAAGCUUCAUACACAUAGUGUCAAAUGCCACAUAGGUAUCGUACAUACUUGUAUGGUCUCGUAUUUAUUUAUUACAUUUUCACUUCUUUGUUCAAUAUGUCCUCCCUCUCGAAUUCUUUCAAUACUCAAGAAACUCGCACAUUUAGUGCAAAAAUGAUUAGCUGAAGCUAUAAUGAUAUCGUACACUUAGUGCCAUCACAUUAAACUGAAGCUAUCUCGGUAUCAAACACUUAGUGCCACAUAUAGCCGAAGCUAUUCCACUUCGCGCACUAACUGCUAUAUAUAGCCGAAGCUAUCUCGAAACGCACACUAAGUGCCAAACAUUGUUAAUUUGUUGUCAUACUAAACCAUAGUCUCAUAUCUAAAAUUUAUGUGAUAUUAAAUCAUUUGAAACAUAAUUUUAACAAUGUUUAUCACGUACGAACUUAUGUCAUACUCGGAAUUGACGAAUUGGAUCGAUUACUCGAUAACCUUCGAUUUUCCCCGAUCUAAAUCUGAAUUCUUUCUUUUUUUGAUCUAUAUGUAUUCAAAAUUAACCAAAUUAAUCAUCAAUUCAUUCAAUUUAAUCCACGAACACAUAAAUUUUAGCUAAUUUUCACUUUGGCCCUAAAUUUUUACAUUUUUUACAAUUUAGUCCUUAUUUCACUAAUACAUAAAAUUUCACAAUUUCUUUCAAAUACAUGCUAGCUGAAUUUUCUUAGUGCUCAUAUCAGCCCAUAUUUAUCAUUUAUUCACACAUUUAACCACAUAUUUUCUAAUUUUCACAAUUUAAUCCCUAAUAGACAUUUUCAUCAAAAAUCACUUUACAAAACUUAGAUAUCUAUCACUAAGUUUUCAUAUUUCAUCAUCAAACAUCUAAAAACACAUGAAUUCAUUAAUGGAAACUUUCAAAAUCAUCAACACUUUCAAAAAUUGAGGCAUGGGCUAGCUAGUACUCAAAGCAACGAUCACAAAAACAUAGAAAUCAUCAAAAAUGGAUCAAAACCAUACAUUAAUUGCUUGAGUAUACAAGGCCGAAUGAAGAACCCUAGAAUGACUUAUUUUUCUAGAAUGACUUAUUUUUAUUUCUUAUUUUUGGUUAUGGUUGAUGAAAAUAAAGAUGAUAAUGCUUUUGGUUUUGUUUAUUAAUUACAUAAUACAUAGUUUACCAUUUUACCCUUGGUUAUUAAACCAUUUUAACAUCAAAUAUAAGACCAUUUAUGUCCAUUCCCACUAUCAAUGGUCUAUUUAAAACAUAAGGACUUUACAUUUAAUAAGCCAUAGCAAAUAGACACAUUUAUAAUAUAGAAUGCAACUUUUGCAUUUUAUGCAAUCUAGUCCUUUUUCUCAAAUUGAGCUAUUAAACGAUAAAAUUAGCUCACAAAUUUUCAUACAUAUAUAUUCACAUGCUAUAAACACUAAAAAUAAUAUUAAAAUAAUUUUACGACCUCAGAUUUGUGGUUUUGAAACUACUAUUCUGAUUUAGCUAAAACCAGGCUAUUUUAGGGACCUCUACUAUGAUGAUCACUACUUCACCUUCUGCGAGCUCGCAAACCGAAACUCGUGAUAGUUCUCAUGUUCUUGCACUUGGUAAUUCUCUUCUUCCUAGUGUUUCUCCUGUUAGUGUGCCUCCUCCUAUAGAGCUACCUCUUUGGAAUAUCAGUGAACUAGCUCCAAGCCAUAAGAAUCUGAAUCAUGAGGAGCUGCAAGAUAUCAUGGGGAAUUGGUGAGCUUCGAUGUCUGGGACUGCAUAGAAGAAGUUGUGCAUUGGUGAGUCAUUUGAGGGCUCACAUGAAUCUGAACUACCAAGGUUAAACUCCUCCUUUCAGGCCUUUCUCGCUGAGGCCUCAAUGAUAAGGUUAGGCAUUGAGAAGAGAAUUGGUAGAAUAGAGGCCACCCAAAAGGAGCUUGAAGUGAACCUUAAGGUUUCUAAGGAGUGAUGGCCAAGAAUGAGAUACGAAAAUGAGGUGCCCUAUAAGCGAAAUGAGGAACUCGCUUGGAGGUUGAGGGCUAAGCUGAUGAAAAAUGAUGAACUAUCCAUUAAGGUCACAACUUUGCAUGUUGAGUUGAAGAAGGUCACUAAAGAGCACAAAGUGGAUAUCAGCCGAAUUAAUACAGAUUAUGAGAAUGCAAUGGCAACGUUGAAGUGUAAUCAAGAAGAAGCUUUUGAGGGUUUUAAGAAGAACAUCCUAAAGAUGUUGAGCAAUGUCACUGUCGAGCUCAAAUCUAACAUUUUUUUGUACACUCAAGUUGUUAUUGGGCCCUUUUAUGUUCACAGGGUGGACUUUGAUGCUUUUAUUGAGGUAGAAAUAGAUCAACUUGGUUUUGAUGUCUGUUGCCCCUCAAGAGGUGCUUGAGAGGAGUCCUUAUCCAAAUGGAAGAACUCGGAGGAUUUUUACCUUAAGGGCAACCUCAAACCAACUAUUGUCUUUAUUGGCGAUCAUACUGCUGAUACUUCUACUACUAACAAUGUUUACUAUUUUGUAACUUUGUAUUUUACUUUUUUAAUGAAUCAAUGAGAUGAAACUUUUGAGUUUUAAUAUCACUUGCUUUUCCUUGAUCUAGAGUGAACUUAAAAAUUUAAACUAGUUUCAUAGGUCAUGAUGCCUUAAUCUGCAGGCCCUAAUAUUAUUAUAGUGUCAUUUUCUUUUGUUUUUCUUUUUGAGUUUUAUAUCAUUCACCUGAAUUUAUUGUUAUCGUAAAAUUCUUAGAUAACUUUGUGAAAGUUAUUAGUUAGGAACGUUAAGCCACGAGUUAUUUCAUACUUGAGAAAAUUUUAAGAGAUAGUCAAUUGGAACUUUGCUCUUUCUAACUGUGUAGGAGGCUAUGGCUCUUCGCCUGCGAGCAUUAGUAUAACAACUUGGAACUUUUCUUUUUCUAACUGUGUUAGAGGCUGCUGCUCUUCGGCUACAAACCUUGAUAUGACAGCUGAGAGUUUUUCUUUCACUAACUAUGUUGGAGGUUGCGACUCUUCGCCUACGAGCCUUAGAAUUAUAGUUGAGAGCUUUGCUCUUGCUAACUAUGUUGGAGGCUGUGACUCUUUGCCUAUGAGCCUUAGUGUGAAAGCUGGGAACUUUGCUCUCACUAACUGUGUUAGAGGCUGGGGCUCUUUUCUUGUGAGCCUUAAUGUGACAUAAAUAUUGUUUAGAAAAUUUUUCAUUCAUAGGAUAAGGAGUUAUACAUAGUAUUUUUUGAAAUGUCGGGUGUUCCAAGUUUGAUGUACAACUGUGCCAUCUAUCUUUUCUAGCUUAUACGCUCUGUAACCUAUUUUUUUCAUCAUUUUGUAUGAUCCUUCCCAAUUUGGAGGCAUUUUUCCUCAUUGACAUACGGGUAGACUAGCAUUGGUAUUUCUUAAAACAAGAUCGACCACUUGGAAUUGUUUGUUUCUAACUUUGGAAUUUUAAUAGUGAGCUACCUGUUGGGUGUGCAUUGCAUUUCUAACCUCAGCUGUUUCUCUUAGUUCAUCAAUUAGGUCGAGGUUGAGCCCAAUAGCCUCCUAAUUAUCUUCAUCAUCGAAGUUUUGCGUUCUAUAUGAUCUCAAACCAAUUUCUGCAGGGAUUACAACUUCUACCCCGUAGACAAGAGAGAAAGUUGUUUCUCCUAUCAUAGUGUCAGGUGUAGUUCGUAGGGCUCACAAAAUUUCAGGCAGUUCUUCUAACCAAGCACCCUUAGCUUUGCCAACUUUCUUCUUGAGAGCCGUUAGAAUUUUCUUGUUCAUCGCUUUUACUUGCCCAUUUAUUUGUGGCAUUUUUACUAAGCUUUUAGCUAGAAUUAUUUGGAGGUCAAUACAAAAGUUUUUGAAUUUUCCCUAAAAUUGUACGUCGUAUGUGAUAAUCAUGUAAGGUAUCUCGAACCUACAGACAAUCUAUAUCUAAAUGAAAGACUCCAUCUGUUUUUCUAUGAUGGUUGCCAAAGCUUUUGCUUCAAUCCAUUUGGUGAAGUAGCCUACAACCAUUAUUAUAAAUUUCUUUUGUUUCAUGGUUAUAGGGAAUGGACCAAGGAUAUCAACCCCCCAAGUUUCAAAAUGACCAUGGACCUGACAUGACUUAAAGGGGCUCUACUGGUUUUCAUUGGAAUUUGGCAUUUCUCUGGCAAUAAUCGCAUAUGUGAACUAACUUAUUGUUGCCCUCCAAGACUAUAGGCCAGCAGUACCCUUGCCUAAAGAUUUUUUGUGUGAGCAAUCUACCACCUAAGUGAUCACCAAAAAUUCCUUGGUGGAUAUUUCUCAUAACAUACUCUGCUUCAGAAUGCGAUAGGCAUCGCAAUAGUAGAUGGGAAAACCCUUUUUCUAUACAAUACACCCUCCAAAAAAGGUGUAUCUAUUAAUUGUGAGAUAAAACACGUUGUCUAAAUUUAUCAUGCAAUGAGCUUGCAAUAUUCAAAUAUGCAAUUCAUAUAUUAGAAGUUUAGUAAAUAUUUAUGACAUGUGAUAAUGGCAUACCUCGCAGUCUUACAUUGUAGUUUUGCAAGCUCUUUUCUGUCUCAAUUGUCUUGCUCGCCUUGGCGUUUACAAAUUAUUGGUGUCAUCUAGGUCUCCUCCUGUGCAUCAUAGCUUGGGGUUUCCCUAUCCUCGACCAUGAUUUUUCCCUUUGUUCUAUGAUGACAAAGGAUGUUAAUUUUGACAAAGCAUCAACACGUGUGUUGUCAUUUCUUAGGUGUUGUUUACAAGAGGUUAUAUAUGCUUUCGACUUAUCGCUAGAUGGUUGAGACACCUGUAGGGGAGGGGUGAUUUUUUCUAAUAUUCAUUACAAGUAUUUAUUUUUUUAUGUUAUUUGACUCAUGUUACUACAACUAUGCUAUUAAUUGUGCAAUUCAUCUAAUUGUCAUAUUCCUUCUCGGAUAUUGUGGCUAUUAUUCCCCGAUCUACUUACAUCCACUCACACUUCUAGUGCAUUAACGCACCCCUGCUGAAUUUCUUGAUGGUCAAGUGAUUUAAUGGGGAUCAGGUACUGCGACAGUUUGGGUGUGUCCAACAUGUCUGUCUCAAAGUUUGGGGGAUUUACAACUAAUUAACAAAAGAGGGAAACAUGACUAGAAUUGGGCAAUCGAGCAUGAAGAAUAUAUUGUAUUGUGCAAUAACUGGAUGGGGCAGAGACCUCGGAUGGAUUAUGCAUCUGAUUUGUGACCCUCAAAGGAAUACAUCCCCUAGUACAUGGCAUGUGGGAAACCUUUCUUAUUUGGCGGGUGAACGAUGCUAGUCCCUCCACACAUGCAAUGAGUAGAGCACCUCUUGCACUGCAUGUCACAUCAGCCUCCUGCACCGAACAACAGCCAGCGCCCGAGCACAAGCAGUCUUAUUCACAACCUGAGGUAGUUCUUAUCAGACUUGGAGAUCGAUAUUGUUUCCCAAGAUUAUUAACCUACGCACAUCAGUCAGAGAUUCUUGAUUCUAGUUCUAAUCAUUUGGAUCUAAGAUCAUUGAUGACAAUUGAUACCUUCAUCCCAUUACCACUCCAAUACUUGACUCCUCCUGAGCAAACCAUUGGGACAUACGAUUUAUCAAGUAUUUAGCACUCCCAAUGGUUCGCUGAUGGAUGAUGUGAACAAUUUUUUGUGUGAUGGUAGCAAUGACCAUCGUGAGCACCCUCAAUGUUAAUAACAGGCACCGCAACAGUUUACCCUAGGACGACACCAUUGAACCAUCAAUUUUAAGCGGUGUAACAUUAUAUUUAUUGCAUUUAUACUAUAAUUUAAUUUUCAUGCUUGUAUGGUUUUAAUUAUAGUAAAUCUUAGACUUAUUUUUAUUCGACUUAAUUUUCAAGCUUGUUUAACUUUAUUCAUUUCAACUUAAUUUUCAAGCUUGUAUCCACAACAAAUAUUACAUUUCAAAACACAACUUCGAGGUUAUUUUUUAAUAAACUUUUAAUAUUUUUAAAAACAAUAUACAUGCUAAAAAAAAGUUCAUAUGCAAAUUCCAUCAUAAUCAUAAAACUCUUCUUACAACCGUGAACAUGAAGUAUUAAUUCAUAUUUCACCUAAUUGCAACGAUUGACCGGUAUGAUAGGUUCGAUACGGGCACUUAUUUCGGUUAUGACCAACUACUCUCCAUAUGCCACAAAGUUUAUCAUAAAUUUUCAUCUUCAUGUCCAUUUCAUUAUAGAUCCUGGUUACUUGCAGGUGACCUUUUGGCAUCCUACGUAACCCCUUGUUUGGGACAUGGCUGAAAGUCAGCAAAGGCACUUCCCAUGUCGACAAAUCACGCAAGAUGGGGAACCUGUUUCCCAAAACACGUAAUGUGCACUCGAGAGUAUUAAUUUUAUUGAUAUAUUGUUCAACAUUGAUUGAGGCACGAGCACAAGUUGGAAUGGUGUGCGCACAAGGGUAGCAAAGUGACUAGAACUUCUCGAAACUGGACCGUCUGUUCUAAAGAUCAACUCCAUAGGACCUAGGUGGGCUUCCUGGUUGACGAUUGAUGGACCCUGUAACUCGAAAAGUUUUUAAAUGUUGAGAAUAUAUUUCUACAUUAAUAUACCUCAAUCUCUGACAAUUCACAUCCAUUACCUUCCUGACAUCUUCAAUAAACACGUGUCUUGCCUCAUCUGGUUGACUUGUUUUAGCCUAAUUCAUGGCAUCAAGGUUUCCAGUCUAUAGAUCAUAGUUGAGAAAACAAAUGAAAUUAAAAGAUGCCGCAUCUGCCUUAACACGGAGUUAACUGCUUCUGCUAGGUUAGUGGUCAUAUGAUCAUAUUGAGCACCAUCAUAGAAACUUUGAGCCCAUUGCCAUGGCUCAUUGGUACCUAGCCACUCUUGGAAAGGAGUAUUCGUCUCACCUUGCAUGUCACCCUCAAGUCUGGACAUCCUUUUUCCUAAAAAGGUAUGGCUCUAGCUCGUAUGCUAUGUAUGAAUUAAGAAAAGACAAGUAACAGUCUCAAAUUAAUUUUUUGAAGGAAUAAUAACAUCUGAAACAUAUGUUAAAACUAAAUUUUACCCAUUUUCUUAACUUGUCUUCACCAGUCUGCAUUCUUGUAGUCUUGGUGGAAGUUAGUUGUAAUGUGCCGAAUCAGUAAACGGAUCUCCACAGAACACUAGAAAGCCUAAUCAUGGCAAUUAUCCCCUUCACUCUAUAGGAUAUGAUGCAAAUAUUGUCAUCCCUAACAACACAGAUCCACAAUUUCAUUACGAAAAAUUCUCAUGAUUCCAUGUUCUCUUUGUCUAUGAUGGCAAACGCUAUCGGAAGCAACUUCCGAUUCCCAUCUUGAGAAACUGUAAUAAGUAGGAUCUCGGUAUAUUUUUUUGUAUAGUUUAAACCCAUCAACCUACACAACCAAAUUGCAGUGGGGAAAUGCCCGUACGAAUGGAUCGAACAUCCAAAACAUCCAUUAGAAAACUAUUUUCUAGAUUAUAGUUGGUCAUCUAGGCCGUAAUAAGGUCGUACCUAUAACUCAAUGAUAGUUCCUGGCUCGUACUUCCGCAUAGCUACUAUCCACCCCUAUAGAUCAUUACACGAUACAUCCCAAUCUCAAUACAACUACUCCAUUUCGAUCUAUUUAGCUAUCCAUGCUUUCCGGUAUGAAGCUCAGUACUGGAAUCGUUCUUGCAUUUCGACAAUUAGCACAAAAACAGGAAUGGUUGACAUGUCCAUCACCAUUGGCAUGAUGCCUGUGCAAAUAAUUUUAGAAUCAAGUUUGCAGUGAUCUUCCGUCAUACGUGUUGAAGUGCAAGUGUGAGGCCCAACAAAUUUUCUGAUUUCCCAUAUUUGCGACUUCUGCAUAAAUAAGGCUCGUAAUCACAAUUGCAGCCUUCUGUCAACCUCCAACACUCCCCAAUAUACAAUGUCAAUUUAGAAACAUUGGCUUUUUAGUCAACUGACACAUUCAUGCUAUACUGCUUAAUGAAAAAUACACGCUCUUCCUUGGUUGCGAAUUUUUGCCUACGAACAAUUCUUCAUGUUCAAGAUCUGUGGUCAACUAGUAAAUAGGUAGUAUAUAGGAGUACUUUGAGAACUCGGAUGCAUGUGUUGCAUUGGGAUCUAUGAUUGACUUGUGUGCCCUAGGAUCGCUGCAUGUCACAAUGUCUCGACUCGAGUCAUCGACUAAAGAUACAUUAACAUUUACAUCGUCAUUCGCCCUUUCGUCAUUGAGAUCGUUUGGGACAUCUUCUAGAUCAGGAUCAGUAUAAUCUUCAACCUCGUGAUCAGAAGAACCAUUAUUAUCAUAUCCAUCAUCACCUUCCACAUCGAUCUCAAUCACCAUGGAAUGUAUUUGUAAAUGGGGACUCAGGUUAAGGUUCUCAAGCAUAGGUGGAGUAUGAAGAUCGAUGACGAUAUCACGUAUAGUCGAUCACCUAUCAACGUAUGCUCUCGGAACCAUCAUUCACAAAUCUUGAACUCAACAUUCUUCAUCUAAUGGAGUGGAAUUUUCAACUAGCUCUACAUCAGCUAACUCAGCAAACAACUGAAUCGGAUCCUCCUUCCACAAUGUCUAACAAAUUUUGCACUGAUCCUUUCUUCAUAUCAUCAACCAAUACAUUUUUAUUAAAUCUCAUUGUUAUUUGUUGGCGACAUUCAAAUAUACAUCCAAUUAUUGUUGUCAAAAUUACUCUAUUGAAAUAAACACGUAUGGAAAAUUGAUUUUUCACUUUCAAUAGUAAACCUGUAAAAAGAAUUAAAUUUAUAAAUUUUUUAUUCCCCAAAAAAAUGGAAAAAAAUAAAAUUAAUAUAUACUAACCUUAUGAAUUCUCUUCUAUGUUUUUUCUUUUACUACAAUUAAUUUUUUUCCUCUUCUAUUCUUAUCUUUCAAAAAAGUUAAUAAAACACUACUUAAAUAGGAUAAACAUUGGGUGUUGCCUCUUUUUCACCCUUCACUAGUGUCGUCUCUCUCUCACCAUCCACUCUAUGAAACCUAUAUUUUUACCCAUGUAAAUGGAGAAAAUACUGGUGUUGCCUAUCUCACACCUUCCACCCUUAAAAAUAUUUUUAAGAAAUACAUCAUUUUGUAAUGAUGUUUCAGUGGAGAAAAUACCAGUGCCACCUCCACCAUGCCCUCCACCACCUCAAACAUACCAUUUUGGUAAAUAAUGGUAUUGGCAUUGUAACACCCCUAACUCGUAUCCGUCACCCGUUUAAGGUUACGAGGUAUUUUUGAUCAAAACACAACUCAAAACAAUCUUUCAAUUUAAAUUAUGCACAAAAUUAUAUUAACUCAAUCACGAAAAAAUUUAAACUCGGAUAGCAACCAGUAGCCCAAUCAUAUAAAUCACAUUCGCACAUAUGGAUCACUUAACCAACUAAAAACCAAACAUGAUUUAAAAUUUAAACAUAUCAAUAUUAUUUAUUUAAUCACCUAUUUGACCCAACUAAUAGACAUCAUAUCAUAAUACAUAUACUUUAUAACUCCAAUAGCCGAGCCUUAUGACCAAAGAUCAUGGCAUUCGAACUCCUAAAGAAUCAUCAAACAUUUUUCCUUUCAUAUACACAGCAUACAUCAAUUCAUCUAUUUGUAAACAUCUAAUUCAUUAGUUAAUUACCAAACAUACCAACCUAUGUACUUAUGCACAUUCACUCAUUAAGUCAAGACAAGACAUAUCAUUUAGCUUAUUAAAUAUCCAUAUAUGAAACAUUAGCAAACAUUACCAAUUAGUCGAAUAAUAUUGUAACACCCCAAACCCGGCCCAGACGUUACGGCCGAAUUUAGUAUAUCACAUGGAGAUGUUUCAAAACAUGUGUUUCUCUAAAUUCUUUGUUUAGUUUUAAAAAAUAUAUUCUUGUUUUAAGUUAAAGUUAAUGGAAGCUGUGCACCAGGUAGGAAGCCAGAAAAGAGGAGGUGAGUCUUACUGGACUGCUUAAGUACCAAGCUCUUCCCGGAUCCAAUCCUAGACAUGCACCCAUCCAUUACCACACUUUAAGCAGGUUACGAGUCUACGAACAUUAAAUCAAGUUUAAGUCGGCUUAAAAUAUUUAUUUUCUUGGAAAAUACAUUUACGUGGCAAAAACUUUAUGCGUCAUCGUAAUCUUUUUAAAAACAAGUAGUUUUUAUAAAACGAACCCUAGUGCUAACCAGUUUAAUAAUCCCCAAAAUAGAAUUAGUUAAAAAGAGCGGCCUUAUUACAACUUUAACCAUAAUAAAAAUAUUCUAAAAUAAAUGCUAAACUUAUUUAAAACCGGCAAUCAAUCUUCAUGGCCACUCUGAAUCCCGCCCAGGUCCAAGUCCACCAACUAGGGCUCACCUGCAAGGAUGGAAGAGAAAGGGGUGAGUUUGGAAACUCAGUGUAUACAGAAACCCAUCCAAAGCACAAAUCAGCUCGAGCCCAUUGGGCCUAAACCCUAUUCAGAUAACAGUACACAGUGGACCGAAGCCCUUUUCAGAAUACAGUAGCAAGGCCUUAGCCCCUUUUAACAUAACAGUGUGGCCUAUAGGCCCAGUUCAGUAACAUAGGUAACAAUAGUAGUAAUGCAUGCAAACCCAUCUGGGGAGACUACUCAACCCACCAACCGCUACACUGCACCCGUACCAGCCCUACACUCUAUGUGGGGAAUAUCUCAACCCAGCCAGCCCUACACUCCACAAUUGCAGCAACGCUGCUCAAAUAUCAGUAAGUUGAGGCAAAGCCUCCAGUACGUGGAUGAACCACUUUCAAUACUUCCUCCAUCAAUACCCCAAUCCCAUGCAACAGAUAUUAAUAAAAGCAUAUCGUGUAAAAUACAAUAUUAAUCAAUCAUGCAGUUUAGCCAAUUUAAACCCUAGGGGUAUAUCGGUAAUUUUGCUCUUUAGGGGUAAUUUUCAUAACUUAGCAACUACACAAGCUACUUCAGUAAUUUUCAAUAGUUUUGUGCAGUUUGGUUCCACCAUCUAACUAACAGGCUAAUUUGCCCAUCUCUUACCCAUAUUGGUCCGUAAGCCCAUUGGGCCCAGUUUUGGCCCAUCAAGGCCCUCUUUUUUCGAAGUACGUUAAGACGUCACACAAACUUACCUACCACCUUGCGGUGCUAGAUCUAACAAUUACUCUACGUCUUGAGAGCAUUCGCAUACUCACAAGCCCAUGAAAUGCCGAAAUUUUGACAUUUCGGCUUUUGCCGAAUUGAACUAAGAAAGGGUGUUCGGUACACACCUGAUUCGCGACGACUGCUACUGAGAUCUCUUUCGAUGUCAUACAAUUGAUUAGCACAGUUCUUAUUUACAGACCAUAAUCACUAAACCCACUACCUACUUAUCCAUGACCGAACCAUGUCCCUGAAAGCCUUUGAAACCUUACCUUUUUGCCAAAAUCGAUAGCUAGCUCCGAAUCCGAUUGCUCCAACAACCCACGCCUUCAAUCCAACACUUAAGAAGGCACUAAUCAUUGACAGAAAACGUUAGUUAAAAACCCUUAGAGCCACAUGCCCAAAUCGACAGCCUCCCUAGAUUUUAGGGACUUUGGCUUUUCCUAACUUUGUAAAAUAGGACCAGAUCUGAGAUGAUGAACACUUACCCCUUACUCCUUUUUGAUCUCCACGCAAUCUGGUGCAGAUUUAUCUUUCAAACGAUGGUAGAACUUGACUCCCGGAGUUUUGAAGUUUCGGCUAUAAGCCCCCAAAUCUAUGGUUUUUUGGCUUUUGGGUGAUGAAGGAGAUGACAAUGUGGGGCUAUAACCUUGAUGUAGAAUUGUCGACAGGUAUCUAGGGUUUAGAAAAGAUGAUUGUCAUUUAUUAGGCACAAAAAUAUCGAAGGAUUUGGCUUGGAAGAAAUCGGCACAACUAAUGUAUUUUUUUCGAGGUUUCGGCUUUUGUGGAUUCGGCAAAAGUAUCGAUGAACAGCAGAAUUGAUGAAUGGUUUUGAAGAAGAAAAACAGAAAAAGAAGAAUAGAGAGAAUGGUGGUUUCGGCUAGAGAGGAAAAAGAGAGAAAAGAACAACCCUAAGGUGUUUAAGCAAAAGAAAACGGCACCACUCAAUACCCUAAGUGCUGAAAUACUCACCUAAUACCCCUCUGCCGAAAUCCCCUUUCUAAUUCCCCUAAUUCGGCCAACUCUUAGCCUCUCUCCAAAUCCCUUAAAUCUCUCCCCUUAUCCCUCCUUAAUCCAAGCGUUUGGACUGAUUCAGACUCCCUUUAGCAGAAUCCACCUGGACUCCAACACUACCCCUCCUGCACUUAAAAAUAAAUGCAUCUAUUUGUCAACACAGGGAAUCGAUCCCAUGCCUUCCCCAAUGCUCCACACGCCAUCUUUUUAGGAGCCUAGUGGCAUCACCCUUGCCACUUUACUAAGGCUCUUUUUGUGAUGCAAUUUACCCAUAACUCUAUACAAGGGCCACCUAGCCAGAAACCCUAACUCCUAAGUCCAAAAUUCGAAAAAUUCAACCGGGUUUUGGCCAACUCAUGGGCCUUCUAUAAGCCCAUUUACCUACUCAAAAUAUUAAUUUCACAUCCAAAUACAAAAUUUUAAAAUCUUUACAAAAUAUUGAAAACCGCGAAUAAAUCCGAAAAUCAGGAUGUUACAAAUAUCUUGUUUAUUACCAAUUCAUAUGCAUUUUAUUAUAAUAUUAUUAAUCAUAUUCGGUCACAAAUAGGCAAAUCAUAUUACACCUAACUCACAUGCUCAAUAACCGAUCCAAAAUUUCCUGUACCUAGCUAUUCAUCACUUCAUCUAUUCGGCUAUCAAAUUACCUAUAAAAUUUAUACCCAUUUCAUUAUAAUAGAUUUACCCUUUUGAGAACAAUUGACAAUUCAAACAUACCUAGUUUGCAUGCAAAUUAUCAUGCUUAAACCUCAUAUGUCCAACCAUUCAAAUAAACACCUAUUCUUCAUCAAAUCUAACCUCAAUAGGUCACACCAUUAUCAAAAUCACAUGCUAUUCAAAAUGAAUCAAUUACCAAAGCCGAAUUUACUACCACAUAUAUAGCACAUUUUGUAAUCAAUCAUAUUUACUAAACUUAAGCUGAAUCAUAUCAUACUUAUCAUUUCUCAUUACCGAAUCAUAUAACUAAACACCACAAACAUAUAUACCAUGAAACAUACUUCCAAAAUAAGCUUAAGGCAUGACCGAAUACACACAAGCAUUAACAUUAUGAUCAAGCCAUUUUUCGCAUGGCUAUAUAUAUAUACAAAUUCAAAACCAAACAUAUCAAAACUAGCUUAUACAUGCCAUAUAUCAUAUUUACAUAUUUCCAAAAGUACCGAAUAUUGGUCGAUAGUGUGAUGAUGUUCCUUGACGAUCCCCGAGCUCGAAGCUAGCUUUAUAUAUCUAUAAAAUAGAGAAGGGAUGCACAAAGUAAGCGUUUAAAGCUUAGUAAGCCAUAAGCAAAUAAAUCAUCACAUAAACAUAUAUAUUUCAAUUCGAAUAGUCCAAUUAUAUCUAAUCUCUUACACAUAUACAUUCAACUAGCUCAUAUAACUUCAUAUUACCACAUUAAAUAUUACACAUACCUUAAUUCUUCUUGAAUAUAUAUAAACUUUAUACAUACCUGAUUCAUUUAACUCACAUUUACAUUCGAUUUUACUUUGAUAUUUCUCAUCGAACCAUUCGAAAUUGACAAGGAUACUAGGAUAACACACAUAGAUCGUACAAUGCCAUAUCCUAGAUAUGGUCUUACAUGUUAUCAUAUAUUGAUGCCACUGUCCCAGACAAGGUCUUACAUGAGUCAUAUACGAUGCCAAUGUCCCAGACAUGGUCUUACAUGAAUUCACACAUCGGAAGUCCAAAUGUUAUGAUAGCAGUAUCUUGUACAAUUCCUAAGGUUUGUUUGGAGCUUACGACUUCGUUAUUCAAUCAACUCAAGCUUGAAAUAAACCAUCAAAUAUCAAAUUCAAUUUGGCAAUAUGAAUAUAAAUACUAAUCAAUUUGGAAAUAGAUAUAAACAUAUACAAUUUAAUUCAAAAAUAUUUAUUUACUUAUGAAUUUACCUUGUACGAAAACAAAUAGACCGGAACGACUAUUCAACAACUUUCGACUUCCCCCGAUCCAAAUAUGAUUUCUUCCUUUCUUGAUCUAAAUUAAUACACAUUUAACUUACUUAAUUUCAUAUUCAUUCAAUUCAAUCCACAAACACAUAAAUGGACAUUUUUCACUUUAGCCCCUAACAUUUUAUAUUUUUCUCAAUUUAGUCCCUAUUUCAAAAUAACACAAAAUACUUAAAAUUUUAAUAAAAUAUAGUUAGGCCGAAUUCUCCCUAGGUCCCUAGUAGCCCAUUAAUUUAAUUUAUUUCACAUUUUGACCCCUAAAAUUUCAAAUUUCAUAAUUUUAUCCUAAAUAAGCAUUUUUAUCAAAAAUCACUUAAUUAAACAUAAUAAUCUACAACAAAUAUUUAUUUUACAUCAUCAAAACACAAAAACAUCAAGCUAUCAGCAAUGGCAAAUCAUGAAUACAUCAACAAAUUCAAAAGUUCAAGCAUGGGCUAGCUAGUAUUCGAAGCAACGAUCUCAAAAACACAAAAAUCGAACAAAAUCCAUACCUCAAUUUGAGCUUCAAAGUGCCGAAAUUUAAAAGCUUUCAAAUGGUUCUUUUUCUCUUCAAUAUUCUGCGAAAAGAUGAACAUGCAUGUCCAUUUCAUGUUUUGUUUUAUUUUAUUAUCAUUUAUUAACAUAAUUACCAUAUUAACCUUAAUAUUUAAAUUACAAAACGCAUAAUGGUUGUCCAUUACCAUCCAUUAGCUUUAAUAGUGGCCUAAUUUCACUUUAAAGACUUAACAAUUAAAUAACCAUAGGAAAUUAGUACUUUAACAAAUAUAAUGCCACUUUUACAUUUUACGCGAUUAAGUCCUUUUUGUCAAAUUAAGCAUACAAACAGUAAAAUUAAAUUACAAAAUUUUCACAUAAAUCAAUUAACAUGCUAUAAACACAAAAAAUAAUAUUAAAAAAGUUCUACGACUUUGGAUUUGUACUUCUGAAACCACUAUUCUGAUUUAGCUAAAACCGGGUUGUUACAGGCAUAUCGUUUUGGUCUUUUGCCCCAUUUUUUCUGAAAACUCACUCUUUUUUCUCUCUUCUUUCUUCCUUUUUCUAACAAGCAUUUGCCAAUGGAGAACUCAAAAUUCUCCAAUUUCUAGAAGCGGUGCACAAUGGCCAGUACAUAAAAAUCUCUUUUUGGGUAAACUACACCCACAAUACUUUAAAAUAGGUUCUAAUCUAUUUUGGUUACCCCAAAAUUUUUUUUCUCAAUUUAGUCGCUCUAAAUAUCAUAAUUGUACGAAUUAUUCACUACCAUUAAACUUUUCAUUUUUUAACGAAUUACUAAUGUGACACAUUAGCCUAUUGAGUCACUGACACGUGAAAUUUUUUGCUAACUUCUGACUAAAGUUUAGAGGGGAGUUUUUGACUAAUUAUAGUGAAGUCCUUAAACUUUAGUCAAAAGUCAACAAAAAAUGUCAUGUAUCAGUCACUCAAUGUGCUAAUGUGUCACAUCAACACUAUGUUAAAAGAAAACAAAAGUUUUAAUGGCAGCGACUAAUUCAUAAAAUUAUCUUAUUUAAAGUGACUAAAUUGAGAAAAAAAUUUGGAGUGAUCAAAAUAUGACAAACUCAAUUUUAGAGUGACCAUAGGUGUAGUUUACAUUUUUUUCCCUUCAAAUAAUUCUUCUUCUUCUUCCUUUUAGAAUCGAAAAACUCAAAGGUUUUCUCUUUUACUUUUCAAAUCAGUUUCAAAAAUUUUAAAAAAAAUCAAAACUUUUUCUUUUCUUUUUUAAGGAGGUUCAUCAUUCUCUUAUUGGCUUAAGGGUAAAACUCUGACGGCGCCUUGUUCAUGAGAGCCUUUUCUUUCUCUCUUUCUAAAUACCAAAAAAAUAAAAAUAAAACUUUCAAAAUCCUUUUUAUUUUCCUUAUAAAACCCAACGCAUCAACCAAAAUGUUAAUAUGGAUUUUUCAUGAUUUUUUUUUUGUUGGAAUAAGAUUUUUUACGAAAUUGAUGUCACCAUUAUAAUCAGACUAAUUAACAUUAAGAAAAUAGGGAAACUAAAUUAUUUCAAAGACUAAAAUAUAGAGCUUAAAUUUCAAAUUUUAUUAUUUUAUAAGGACCAAAAUUGAAACUUAACUAUUAUCUUAUCACGUAAAAGAAAAAACAAAAAGUAGAAAUCCAUUAAAGUUGAGCUUAAUUGGGCUUGAAAGGUGGACUGACCCAUCACCAAUCCUAACACUCAACAACCCUUAAAAAGUAAUAGAGCUAAAUAAACUUGUAACUCAUUCCUUAGGACGUGCAAGCAUAUCUACUUAGGAUAAAUAUAAGAGAAGAUGGAUAACAAAACCCAAUUAAAUAAGGACAUCUUGUUAUUGAUUUGUUAACCACUCGGUCAAAUUAACUUUUCUUUUUUUUCUAACAAAUGAAAAGUAGAGGAAAAUCAACAAAUAUUUUAUUUGAAUUAAAAGCAAUGAGUUCUGGAUUGAGAAAAGAAGGCUCUCAAACGAUAUUAAAAAUUGAUCUCUAUACUAGAAUUUUAUAAGUUUGCAGUCUAGAAUUUAUAACUACUAGAAGUUAUUCCCAGAAAGAUCAGACUAAUAUUAUAGUUCAGAAUAAUACCUAUUGAUAUUCAGCUUCUUCGACAAGAUACCUAUUUAUAUUAAUUUAAUCACGAGUCAUCUAGCAAAUACCUACUUUACCUUUUGUAAUUUGUAGGGCUACCAAGUGUGGUACAGUCACCUAUCAUGAAACGACCUCUAUUUUGUUGGGACACUUAGCUCUUCGAUCACUAACAUAGGCUUUGUUGGAGCCUUGGUCACUAGUGAGAGUAAAGAAACCACCAUUUUUACAAAAUAGAGAAUAAUGUGAAAUUCUGGUGCUUGAUUUUAGGGAGAGAAGGGAAGAGACCUUUCUUCCAGUUUCCACAUGGAAUUGUGAACAUGAACUCUGAUCAUUUGCAUACUUUUUGGCUUGUUAAUAAGUUAUCAAGAAAAUUUUCAAAUGAACAAAUUUGUUAUACACAAAUGAUCACCAACUCAAAACCGAGAUAAGAUCUGAAUUGCUUUCCCACGACCAUGUCAGGCCCUACUAGAUGGAUGUAUGUAAGGUGUACAGUGAAAAGACAGCCAGGGGAGCUCGCAAAUCAUCUCACGCGAGCAGAGGGGAAUUCAUAGUCUCAUUUCGUAUAUACCCAAGGAGUUCACAAGUGGGGGGUUGCGAGAUCUAACAGGUGACCUAGAAUGGUACAUUUGUCGAGCAUACCCGAGGCUUACUCAGAAUGGAAGUCCUAUGAAUAAUAGGGUCAAGUUAAUGAACAAUGGAGUUAAACCAUGAACAAUGAUAGUACGUAUAAAUACCCAAAUAUUCCCUUUAAUGAGACAUGAAAAAUUACUCAAAAAUUGGUGGGUAAGCGUGGAUGAAUUUCCGAUCAUUAGAUUUCUUCAUUUUGAAAGAAAAAUGGCUCACCCAAAUGAGGACAUCCCCUUCAAUAUUUCAUCUGGACAAGUUGGAGCACCGGGUCCUAGCAGUCAACCUAAUGAGGCAAACCUUUUUGUUGGAUGGUUUGUCGACCGACCUAAAAACUUCGAUAACACGACCUAUCAUGGUGUUUUAGGUCCAUUAGACUUAAAUAUAUCCAUUGGCUAGAGGUUGCUACUUCCCCCUAAUUAGGAAAUACCUCCUCAACAAUUCUAUGCUCUCCAAGAGUAGAUAAAGUUCAUGAGAGAGCAAAUGGUUUUGUAGGAGGCAUGCUUUGAGCAACAAAAGGCUUUACAGUAGGAACUUCUAAAGUAGAAUGGGUAGUUAAGAGGGAUGGUAGAAUGGGUAGUUAAGAGGGAUGGUACACUCUAACAUUUCAAAUUUUCAUGAUACUGUAAAUACGCAAGAUGAAGUUCCAAACAUGCUUGCGAGAAAAUGAUAGAAUGAGAUGGGCGAGUUGCGACGAUAUGUAAAAGUGUUGCACCCUAAGUCUCAAGACAUGGAUUGGUUGUUCUGUCCUAACAAUCCAUUGGCCCUUGAGAUAGGAGCAGUGAACUUGCCGCAUGAUUUUAAAUUCCCAAAAGACAUGUUUAAGUGGAGAAAGGACCCGCGAGCCCACUUGAUGCAAUAUAAUGACUACAUGAACGUACUGUGAGCAUCAAAUUCAGCAAAAUGCAAGGCCUUUUCCACGACACUUAAUGGAUGUGCGAAUGACUAAUAUUUGUCGCUUCCGUAGGGUGCAAUUCAAAGCUUUUCUUAGUUGGGCCAAGCGCUUUUGGGAAGAUUCAAUGUAACACCCCUAACCCGUAUCCGUCAUUGGAAUAGGGUUACCAAGUAUUACCGAAGUUUACAAUUCAGAACUGUAACAAAUUUUAGUACAUUUAAUUCAUAUCAUCAAUCACAGUAAAACCAAUCAGUAGCAUACAUAUUGUCCCUUAUACGAACUCUCGUGGCCCUAAAAAUACAUUAGAAAUAAAUCAGGACUAAAUCAGGAAUAUAUAGAAAUUUCAGGGAAAAGAUGAAAAUUUACAAACUGUAGGGGUUACACGGCUGUGUGGCUAGGCCGUAUGACUCACACGACUAAGGGGCACACUCGUAUCUUAGGCCAUGUGGGCAUUCGAAAUAGGGAUACACGACUGUGUCCCAGCCCAUGUCCGUGCCCUUGUAACUCACUGACUUGGGUCACACGGCCAAACCACACGCUCGUGUGCCAAGCCGUGUACCCUUCAAAAUAACCUCACACGCCCUUGUACCAAGCCCUGUGCUAGGAUGUGUGAAACCUAACUUGCAGCCCUUUGGAAACUACGGGGGACACACGGUCGUGUGUCACACACGGCUGAGACAAAUGCCUGUGUCUCUGCUCGUGUGGAUGAAAAUAGUAUAUUUUACAAGCCAUUUUUCUCACCUUUUUCAACAUUUACCUAUAAUCCCUUUUGCAUAUACAUAAGCCCUAAAAAGGCACCAAAAUCAUACAAUAUCAAGCCAAACACAUAUGGUAUAAUAACAUCCAACCAAUAUGCCCAAAGGCACCUAAAAUGACAACAUUAAAACAUAUAUAACCAAGUAUUUAAUUUGGAAAAAAUAAAUGAUUAACUUCUAACUAAGUUUGCAUCAUUACACAACAUAUAAACCACUUACCAAAACAUAUCAUUUAGUACCAACUGUACCAUAUAAUCAUUAGCAUCAAAAUACAUAUAUGCUUACUAUGGCAUAAAGCCAAUUCAUAACAAGUCACAUUCAACUACUUUUCUAUCUACCAUCAUUCAACCACAACAAGUCAUAUAUCAACCAUUACAAGGCUACUUAUAUACACCUUAUAAUACAUAUCAUUUUACCAACACAAGGUCAGAAUGCAAACUAACCAAAUGGUCAUUUCCACAACCAAAACACAUAGGCUAACAUUAGCCAAAAUACCUAUACAUGCCAUUAUAACCUUAACCAACAUAUCAACAUCUACCGAUAUAAUCGCUGGAUAGUAUGAUAAAUUUUCAAUGAGCUUCCAAGCCAAUCGAGCUUCCAAUAGUCUGAAAACUAAAGAAAAAUAACUAUGUAAGCAAUGAAUGCUUAGUAAGUUCAUAUAAACUUUAAUCAUAUCUAUCCAUUUCAAAUAUGAAAUUUAUACAAUUCAAAAAUAAUCAUAUAUCGAUACCACACGAUUCAUGAAACCAAAUUCAACAAUUCACAAGUUGAAUAAUUCUACAGCAUCACUUAUACCUAUCAUCCCUAACAAAAUUGGAUUUUAUAAAAACUUUAAGUCUCAUUCAAUUUUCUUCCUUUCGUUUACAUGUUAUUACUUGCCAAUUACAUUUACUUUCUUUAGCUUAAAUAGCAUCAUCAAUUCAACUCAUUAUUCCCAUUUUCAUCACUCAUUUCAUAUGCAUAGUACAUUAGACACAAGCAUAUCAUCAACCAUAGUAUUUAAACAUAGCUCUUUUAGAAUUAAUCACAUGAUAAACCAUUUCAUAAGAAUUUGCAUAAUUUAAACCUUACCAUUUUUUCAUGAGUACAAGCAUAUUUUCUUUUGAGCACUUACCAUUUCAAUACGACUUAUAAGUAAACAUAGUACCAUUCAACCAAUAGCUUGGCACUUGCCUAAGCAUCAAGCAGCAACACAUGUUAGCGUACUGGACAUAUUUCAUAUAAAUUCAACAUUGAUAACCUUAAUUUCUCAACAUGUUACACUUGAGUUCAUUACUUGUCUCAACUUACAUAAUUACCAUGUAUCAACACAUCAAAGAUAUUCAUAUGUGUACAUGUCAUGAUACAUAUCAUUAUCUUACCGUUUCAUCAUAUACAUAUAUCAUCCAUUUCAAUAAAUCAAUAUAUCAUCUCCAUCAUUUCCAUAUAUUUCAUGUAUAUACCUGUAUUAGUUCGUAUCGAGCCCAUAUCAUCUCGUAAUAGAAUAUUUCCCGUUGAACCACUUAGAAUAAUAUCGAAUACGCGAGAAUCUAGCACACUAUGUGCCAACAAGUAGUCGAAGCCACUACUAUCUCAUAUCUCAUAUCAAUGCUCUCUCUCGAGCCAUAAAUGCAUCUACUCACACAAGCUGUCAGUAAAGACAUAGCUACACGAUGCUGCUCACACAAGCUGUCAAGUAACCGCAACACAUGCCGAAAACUCAACCAUAGGUAGGACGUAUGAGACCAGCACUGAAAACACAGUAACCCCUAAUGACAUGUCAUUUGUAUCCUAAAAAUUCCUAAGGUUCAAACAGGACUCGAUUGUCGUCGUGCGUCGUUGAGUUUUCCUAAUUUCAUCAAAAGCUAAUUGUAUCAUAACAUAUAUAUAUCGACUCAUUUUCAAUAAAAUUCAUAUAAUAACAUUCAAUUUAAUCAACAAUAUACAUAGUAUAGUUCAUACGAACUUACCUAUAAAAUUGAAGAAAUACCAAAGUUUAAGGGCAUUUGGUAAUUUUCCAUUUUCCUCAAUUUUCUACUCGAUUUUGAUCUAAAUUAAUAAUUUCAUUCAAUAUAUUAAUUUAGAAAAUAAAACAAUUCAUUUCCUACAAUUUGGUCAUUUUUCACAUUUACUUUUAUUCAAUUUAGUCCCUGAGCCCAAAACAUGCAAAUUAACCAUUUUUACCACAAAUUGAGCUUAGCCAAAAGUUCAUGGCAUCCAAAACAGCCCAUUUAUGUAACAAUUUCAUAUUAAAUCCUUGUACUUUUAUUAAUUUAACAAAUUAGUCCCUGAUCAAAAAAAUUCAUCAAAAUCACGUAACAAAAUACUCUUAAAUAUAAACCAGCAUUCCAAAAUUCAUCAUCUAACAUCAAAAAUCACAAGAUUCAUCAAUGACAACAUUCAAAAUCUUUAACAAUUUCAAAAUCGAAGGUACGGGCUAGCUGGACCUAGUUGCAACAAUCUCAAAAACAUAAAAAUCAUUAAAAAUAGGACUAAAAAUGCCUACCAUGGACUAGCUAAAAUUUUGAAGCUUCUCCCAUGGCUUCUCUUCUUUGCAAUCGAUUGAAAAUGAAAAACAAAAAGAUGAUAGUUUUUUUUUCUUUUAUUUAAUUUAUCUUUUAUUACUUAAUUACACAAUUGCCCUUACCUAACUUUUAAAUUUACACAAUUGUUAAGCCAUGCACAUCCACUAACACCCUUAAUGGUCUAUUUACCAUAUAAGGGCUUCCACUUUAAAGUUUUAUAGCUAUUUAAUACCUUUAGCUAAUAGAACUCAACUUUUGCACUUUACGAGGUUUAGUCAUUUUUGCUUAAUUAACUAUCGAAAAUUUAAAUUUUUUUAACGAAACUUUAAUACCACCUUAAUGAUACUCCGUAAAUAUUUAUAAAAAUAUUUACAGCUCAGUUUAUAGAAAAGAGGUUCCAAUACCUCAUUUUCUAAAACCACUUAAACUUAAUAAAUCAUUUAUACAACAAAAAUCACUAUAUCAAAAACCUUUUUAAAAUUACAAUUAACUCAUAAAUAUUAAAUAUAAUAUUUAUAAACGUACUUGUCAGAUUUGGUGGCCCCAAAACCAUUGUUUCUGACACCUCAGAGCACAGAAAAUGAUCAUGAGCAUGCCUAUAGGGUUGAUAUUGAUGAAACAGAAGGAGGGUGAGUCCCUCCAAGAUUAUGUGAAGCAGUUUCGUGCAUCAAAUUUGAACACAAAAAAUUUGGAGGAUCGGUGGGCUAUUGAUGCUUUCAUAAUGGGGGUACAAAAUGACCACAUACAAUACUCCUUUACUAUAAUAUGCCAUAGAGUUUGGCUGAUCUAUAUGAGUGAUCUUACAAGUUCACAGAGGGAAAACAGAUUAAAAGGGCGUAACAUGGCACCUUUCAAAGGGAAGACAUGAAAUUUAGAAACCGAGAAGGAGCUCGCAAUAGGUAGGGCCCUCCUAAUCAAUUGUUAUGAGUAAGAGGUGAUAGACAGUAGAGAAAUUAGAUUCAAAGUGAUUCUCUCAGGGCUCCCUAGAGAUCUCAGCCAGAUCAUACCAAGAAGUACAUUCUUCAAGGCAGGUUCAAAGUUUACACUUAUUUCUAAACGAGGUAAAAAGCCUCAGAAUCACCCCCAAUUCAUCCACGAUGAGAUACAGUGCGAGACAAUCAAGUUCAAGAGACAAACGUUGGACACAAGAUUGAAGACUGUUUCACUCUGAAAAAUACUAUAGAGGAAGCAAUGCAAAAUGGCGAGCUAGUUGGGUUUGUUAAUCAGGGUGUUUCCCAACACGGUCAAAGUUUGCGUGGUUAUACUAAAGGUAAACAAAAGGUUAGGACACUUGGCUUUCAGAUCACUAACAUAGGCUUUUUUGGAGCCUUAGCCACCAGUGAGAGUAAAGAAACCACUAUUUUUAGAAAAUCGAGAAUAAGGUGAAAGUCUGGCACCUGAUUUUUGGGAGAGAAAGGAGUAGAACUUCCUCCAAGUUUCCACAUGGAAUUAUGAACAGAAACUCUGAUCAUUUUGCAUACUUUUUAGCUUGUUAAUAAGUUAUCAAGAAAAUUUUCAAAUGAAUAAAUUUUUUAUACACAAAUUAUCACCAACUCAAAACCCAGAUAAGAUCUGGAUCGUUGCUCGAGACCCAGUCAAGCCCUACUAAAUAGAUGUGUGCAAGGUGUAUAGUGAGAAGUCGACCAGGAAAGCUCACAGUAUCAUCUUACACGAGUUGAGGGGAGUUCAUAGUCUUAGUUCGCAUAUACCCAAGGAGAUCACAUAUAGGGGCUGCGAGAUCUAACAAGUGACCCAGAAAGGUACACAUGUCUAGCAUGCCCGAGGCCUACUCAAAAUGUUAGUCCCAUGAAUAGUGGGGUCAAGUCAAUGAAUAGUGGAGUCAAAUCAUAAACAAUGAUUGUAUGUAUAAAUACCAAAAUAUUCCCUUUAAUGAGACACGAAAAAUUACUCAACAAUUGGUGCGGUGAGCGAGGAUAAAUUUUCGAUCAUCAGAUUUCUUCAUUUUCAAAGAAAAACGGCUCACCCAAAUGGGAACUUCCCUUCAAUCUUUCAUCUGGACAAGCUAAAGCGUUGAGUUCUGGCAGUCAACCUAAUGAGGUAAACUUUUUUGUUGGAUGGUUUGUCGACCGACCUAAAAACUUUGGUAACACGAGUUAUCAUGGUGUUUUAGGUCUAUUAGACUUAAAUAUAUCCACUGGUUAAAGGUUGCCACUUCCCCCUAAUUAGGAAACACCUCCGUAACAAUUAUAUGCUUUUCAAGAGUGGAUGAAGUUCAUGAGGGAGCAAAUGGUUUUGUAGGAGGCAUGCUUUGAGCAACAACAGGCUUUACAGUAGGAGCUUCUAAAGCAGCAUGAAGAGUUAAGAGGGAAGGUACACUCUGACAAUUCAGAUUUUCAUGAUAAUGGAAAUGUGCAGGAUGAAGUUUCAGACGUGUAUGUGAGAAAAUAACAGAAUGAGAUGAGUGAGUUGCGAUGAGAUGUAAUAGUGUUGUACCCCGAGUCUUAGGACAUGGAUUGGUUGUUCUGUGCUAACAAUCCAUUGGCCCUUGAGAUAGGAGCGUAAACUUGCCGCGUAAUUUUAAAGUCCCAAAAGACAUGUUCGAGGGGAGAAGGGACCCGUAACCCAUUGAUGCAAUAUAAUGACUAUAUGAAUGUAUUGUGAGCAUCAAAUUUAGAAAAAUGAAAGGCUUUUUCCACGACACUUAAAGGAUGUAUGAAGCACUGAUAUUUGUCCCUUCUCUAACGCUCAAUUCAAAGGUUUUCGUAGUUGGAAAAAAUGUUUUCGGGAAGAUUUAGAGUACAUAGAAUGAUCAUGAGUAUGCCUAUAGGGUUGAUGUCGAUGAAACUGAGGGAGGGUGUCCCUCCAAGAUUAUGUGAAGCGAUUUCAUGCAUUAAAUUUGAACACGAAAAUUUUAUAGGAUCGAUGGGCUAUUGAUGCUUUCAUAAUGGGGGUACAAAAUGACCACAUAUAGUACUCCUUUACUACAAUAUGCUAUAGAGUUUGGCUAAUCUAUACGAGUGAUCCUACAAGUUCACAAAGGUAAAAGUGAUUAAAAGGGUGUCACAUGGCACCUUUCAAAAGGAAGACAUGCAAUUUAGAAACUGAGAAAGAGCUCGCAGUAGGCAGGGCCCUCUUAAUAAAUUGUUGUGAGCAAGAGGUGAUAGAAAGCAUAGAAAUUAGAUUCAAAGUGAUUCUCUCAGGGCUCCUUAGAGAUCUCAUUUAGAGCAUACCAAGAAGUACAUUCUCCGAGGCAAGUCCAAAGUUUGAACUUAUUUGAAUGCUACCCAUACUUACAUUCUAAACCAAGUAAAAAGUCUCAAAAUCCACCCCAAAUCAUCCUUGAUAUGGUACAGCGUGAGACAAUCAAGUUGAAAAGACAGACGUUGGUCACAAGACUAAAUACUGUUUCACUUUAAAGAACGUUAUAGAGGAAGCAGUGCAAAAUGACGAGCUAGCUAAGUUUGUGAAUAUGGGUGUUUCCCAAUAGGUUCAGAGUUCGAAUGGUGAUCCUAAGGGAAAACAAAAGGUUAGGGGUAUCAUCUAUGUAAUAAUUGGAAAGAAUAAAGAAUGGACGACCUUUAGCACUAAGAGGAACGCACACCUCAAGAGUGUUAUGCCUAUCGGUUCACCCCAAAAGGCUUCCUAGUAGGAAAGGUGGAAGGUAGACUUCAUUGAUGAGGAGAAAGGUUGGUAUGUGAUGAGGAUGACAAUGAUCCUAUGUGGUGACUAUAAUAAUUGUUGGUUAUGAAGAGAAGAGGAUUCUUGUGGAUAAUGGAAGUGUAGCUGAGGUUCUGACCUGGAAUACUUUUCAGAAAAUGGGGUUGAAAAAGAAUGCAUUGAAGAGGUUGAACCCACUAUACGGUUUCGUGAACCACCCCAUCGAGGUAAAUGGCUCUAUUAUCUUGGUAAUAACUUUGGAAGAUGGCGAGUACACUACCAUAGAGUCUGCCCAAUUUUUCAUAAUGGAUCAUCAUAUGACUUAUAAUGCCAUCUUUGGAUGCCUGAUACUGAGGGUGGAAAGGAUGAUGGUGACUAUUUUUUACAUGAAGAUAAAGUUUCCCACUAAAACUAGGGUUAUGUACAUGCAAUCGGAUUAGAGCAUAACCAAACAGUGUCACAUGUUGUUGGUACAAUAGGCUCACGAGCAGCAACAACGGGGGUAGAGUUUGCAGCAGAGGAAAUUAGAUGGGCAGUUGCUAGAUUUGGACAACUUGAAUAACAGAUGUGAAGAGUGAGAAAAGAAUCCAGAAGCGGCCAUAGUUAUAGAAACUUUGCAACUUUUUAAUGGUAGUAUAGACAAGGUGGUUAGAAUUUCGCCUGCGCUGAUGAGUGAGGAAAAGGAAAUUUUGCUUCAUUUCUUAAGAAUGAAUGCAUAUAUUUUUGCUUAGUUCACUGUAUAUAUGCCAAGGGUGAACCCUCAUUUAUUUCUGCAUAGGUUGAAUGUUUUGUCCAAUGUCAGACCUAUGAAGCAAAAGAAGGGAAGGUUUGCACCACAUGUUCUGAAGGCUAUAAGGUAGAAGGUCACAAAGCUAUUGGCCGCAGGGUUCAUCGGGCAUGUUGAAUAUCUAGAUUGGAUUUUGAAUAUUGUGAUGGUGAAGAAGGAGAACAAUAAGUGGAGAAUGUGUAUAGAUUUCACCAAUUUCUACAAGACUUGUCUGAAAGAUAGCUUCCCUCUCCCUUCGAUCGAUAGACUUGUUAAUACGUACUCUAGUAACAAAUUCAUUAGCUUUAUGGAUGCUUUCUCUAGAUAUAAUUAGAUCUCUAUGGAUCCCAAAGAUUAGGAGAAAACAAAUUUUGUUAUAGAAGAUGCUUUAUGUUGCUAUCGUGGAUGCCUUUUGGUUUAAAAAAUAUAGGUGCGACUUACCAGAGGUUGGUGAAGAAAAUUUUCAGAGAGCAGAUCGGGCUAAGUGUUGAGGUUUAUGUCAAUGACAUGUUAGUGAAAGGCUCCACUCUCACCAAGCAUGUUGAAAAUCUGUCAGAAGAAUUUACGGUAUUACGAGCCCAUCGGGUGAAGCUAAACCUGAAUAAGUGAGCUCUCGAGGUCAAGCCUGUUAAAAUUUUGGGCUUUGUGGUCUCAAAGAGUCUAAUAGCCCAUUUUUGGGUCAAAUUAGAAUAGUGGUUUCGGGACCAUAAAUAUGAAGUAGAAAUAUUUAUUUUAUUGUUUGUUUAAGGUCUACAGCAUGAUAGAAUAAUUGUGUGAAAAUUUCGUCAAGAAAUUUUAUCGAUUGAGCGCUCAAUUUGAUUAGAAGGACUAAAAUGCAAUAGGUGAAAAACUUGAAUUCUAUAAAUUAAAGGUUUCUAAUUAUUAUGAACUUUUAAUUAGUGGUCCUUAAAUGGCAAUUAGACCAUUAUACCUUAGGAUGGACAAAAAUGGACGUGGUUAUGUUAAAUUUCAAAGUUAUGCAUUAAGGGUAUUUUAGUAAUUUGGCUAAUAAGGACAAAAUUAACUAAAUAAAAUAUGUCCAUCUUCUAAAUUUCAUCCCCCCAUAGCCAAAAUUCACAAGGAUCCUUAGCUAGGGUUUUGGCCACUUUCAAGCUCGAUUGCAAGUCCAUUCUUACCCCGUUUUUAAUGAUUUCUAUGUUUUUGAAGUUUUCUUAACCUAAUCUAGCCUUUCCAAGGACUAAUUUGAAGAAGAAUUAAAAUUUAAAAUUUGACCCAUGAUGAAUAUGUGUGUAUUUUGAUGUUUGAUGGUAGAAAAUGCAUGUUUGAUGUUUGUUAAACUACUUUUGUAAAGUGAUUUUCAGUAAAAAUGUCAAAUAGGGACUUAUUUGUAAAAGUCUAUAAAAUGUGUAGAAAAGUGUGAAUAAAUGAAAAAUAUGGGCGGUUAUGAAUACAAACAACAUUCGGCUAGGCUUGGGAUGUAAAUAAAUUGAAAGAAAUUCAUUUUAUGAGCCUAGGGACUAAAUUGUAAAAUGUUACAAAGUUAGGGACAAAAAUGUAAAUUUAACCAUAAAGUGUUUUUAGGAUGAAUUGAAUAAUGUGAUGAUUAAAUAAGUUAAAUGUGGUAUUAUAGAUCAAGGAAAAUGAUGUUCGGGUCUAGAUCAGGGGAAAACUAAAGUAAUUGACGAAUAAAUCUCUUUAGCCGUUUUUUGUAACUGAGGUAAGUUCUUAUGUUAAAUAAGCUUUACUUUAAAUGUGUUUUAAAUGCUUUAAUUUGUGCAUGAAUUGUGUAAUUGACCUGACAGACACAUUUGAUAAUGAUUUGGCAAGCGAGAAAUCCCAAUAGAACCUUAGGAAUAGAUUAGGAUACAAGUGACAUGUCACUUGUCCUAUGCAUGGUCUUACACUAACACCUCUAUACGUGCCGAUGCCAUGUCCCAGACAUGGUCUUACACUGACAAAUCUCGUAGCCGAUGCAUGUCCCAGACAUAUCUUACACUAGCUUACAUCUCAUGGCUGAUGCAUGUCCCAGACAUGUCUUACACUAGCUCUCGUCUCAAUGCCGAUGCCAUGUCCCAGACAUGGUCUUACACUGGCUCUUAUAAUGUGGCCGAAGUAUGUCCCAAAUAGGUCUUACACUGGCGCACGAGUGACCCAAAUGUCAUGGCAUGAAUAUCUGAUUUGUUCGUAAGGUUUAUCUGGGAGUUUUAUUAUCUCUAUUAUCAUACAUGAUUAUUUCCACAAAUAAGCAAUUCAUGCUAUCUCAAUUCAAGCACAUAUAAUAAUGAUGUAGUUGCAUUAUUUACAUACAACUUACCUCAGAUUACAAAAUGUAGACGACUAGUUCGGCUUAGUCUACUAGUUUCGGUUUUCCCCAUUUUAGGCCUGGAUUUUGUAAUUCUUGAUCUAAAAUGAUAGAAAUUUAUUCAUUUCAUCAGCAUAUUAAUCUAGACACUCGAAAACUCAUAAUUGAGCAAAUUGACCAUUUUGAGCCUACACUUUUACAAAAUGACCAUUUUACGUGUAGGUCCAAAAAUUGAUUUUUAUCACAUUUUCUCAUUAAGUAAGCCUAGCCGAAUACUUUUCACACUAGGAGCAGCCCAAAAUUCUCAUUAUUUCACACAUUUAUCAAUUAUUUUACAACUUAUGCAAAAUGGUCCUUUUUAGGGUUUUCAUGAGAAAUCCCUUCACAAAAGUUGUUUAUUACACAACCAUGAUUCAUUUUAUUCCAUAAAAUUUUAGAAAACAACAUGUCUACUAUCAUGGAAAAACCCUAGACUUUCAACCAUUUUGCAAAAUAGUCCCCUUAUUAGAAAGCUCAACAUACAAUGAUAUCAAAAGUACAAAAAUAUUCAAGAAAAGCCCUCAAAAUCACUUACUUGUAGAGAGACUAAGUGGCUGAAAUUUCAAGCUUCAAAAACUCCUCUAAUGGCUGAUAUUUUCAGUCAAGAAGAAAGGAUGGAGGAAAAAGAUGAAGGCUAAGCUUUUUUAGUAUUAUUUUAUCACAUAUUAGGUCAUCAAAUACCUAACACUUUGACCAUUUAAUUUCUUUGUCUCAUGACCGGCCAAGCCUCUCUCUAAGUAUUUAUUUGCCCUUUGAAGACCCCCAAUUUAAGAUACAUGGAAAUUUAACACCCUUAAGUAUCAAAUUAAAACUUUUGCACUUUAUGCGAUUUAGUCCUUUUUCGUAACUAAGCUCACAAACGCUAAAAUUACUUCACCAAAUUUUUUAUGCACUAAUAUAAACAUACUAUAACUCUAAAAUAAUAAUAAAAUACUUUCUCCUACUUUGGAUUGGUGGUCUCGAAACAAUUAUUCCAACUAAGCCCAAAAUUAGGAUGUUAUAUAUAUGUAUGAUUUGUGAACGGUAAUGCCUUGUCCCGGUGUCGGCAUCGAACCCGGGUUGGGGGUGUUAUAGACUGAGAAAGAUGAUAUUCAGAAUGCAAGACUGAGCAGCACUGCCACUAGAGGGAGGCCACUAAGAAAUACUAGAAAUGGGAAGAAUAGUAGAGGUGAAACGAAAGAGUUAAUUGCGAGAUCAGAGGUUAGAGCACCUGCUAGAACCUACGCUAUUCGCGCUCGUGAAGUUGCGUCAUCCCUUGAUGUUAUCAAUAGUACAUUUUCUCUCUAUGAUAAUAAUGUAGUUGUAUUGAUUGAUCUUGGAUCGACUCAUUUUUAUAUUUGCAUGAAUUUGGUAUCUAGUAAGAAUCUUCCUGUUGAGUUACUGAGUAUGUGGUUAAAGUGUCGAACCCCUUAGGCAAAUAUGUUCUAGUUGAUAAUGUUUGCAAGAAUUGUCCUUUAGUUAUUCGGGGUCACUGUUUUCCAACUGACUUAAUGCUUUUACCAUUUGAUGAGUUCGAUGUAAUUCUUGGAAUGGAUUGGUUGACUCCACAUGAUGUAGUAGUGAAUUGUAGAUGAAAGAUUAUUGAAUUGAAAUGUCAAAAUAAUGAAAUUCUUCGAAUUGAAUCAGAUGAGUCGGGUGACUUGCCUAUUGUGAUUUCGUCGAUGUCGGCUCAGAGGUAUGUAAGAAAAGGUUGUGAGGCUUAUCUUGCGUAUGUACUGAAUACGAAAGUGUCUAAAUUGAAGAUUGAAUCUGUGCCGGUUUCUAGAAGAGUUGCCUGGAUUACCAUCAAUCAUAGAGGUUGAGUUUACUAUUGAUUUGGUACCGAGAACUUCACCAAUAUUGAUAGCUCUGUAUAGAAUGGCUCUGACCGAAUUGAAAGAAUUGAAAUCUCAGUUGCAAGAGUUGACAGAUAAGGGUUUUGCGAGACCAGGUUAUUCGCCCUGGGUGCACCAGUGUUAUUCAUCAAGAAGAAAGACGGAUCCAUGAGACUUUGUAUAGAUUAUCGUCAACUUAACAAGGUUAUGAUAAAUAACAAGUAUCUUUUACCAAGAAUUGAUGAUUUGUUCGAUCAGUUGAAAGGGGCCACAGUGUUUUCAAAGAUAGACUUGAGAUCAGGCUAUUACCAUUUGAGAAUUCAAGAGUCAGAUGUAUCGAAGACCGCGUUCAAAAUACGGUACGGGCAUUAUGAAUUUCUUGGUAUGCCUUCUGGAUUAACAAAUGCUCCUGCAGUUUUUAUGGACUUGAUGAAUCAAAUUUUCUAACUGUAUUUAGAUAAAUUUGUGGUUUUUUUUAUUCAUGACAUUUUGAUUUAUUCCUGAGAUGAGUCUGAGCAUGCCGCACAUUUAAGAAUUGUCUUACAGACUUUAAGAGAUAAGAAAUUGUUUGCUAAAUUCAGCAAAAGUGAGUUUUGGCUCCAAAAAGUCAAAUUUCUAGGACAUAUUAUUUCAGCGAAAGGUAUACGGGUUAAUCCGAGUAAGAUUUCAGUAGUUCUUGGUUUGAAACCACCGAGAAAUGUAUCCAAAGUUUGAAUCUUGUUGGGUUUGGCUGGUUAUUAUCGAUGUUUUGUUAAGGGAUUUUCGAUGAUUGUUUGAGGUUCUGAAGUAGGAUUUGUGUACCAAAAAAUACUGAACUAAUUUAGAAAAUUCUUCAUGAGGCGCAUAAUUGUUGUCUAUCUGUUCAUCCUGGGAGUACCAAGAUGUAUAAUGAUUUGAAGGAAUUAUAUUGGUGGUCAGGCAUAAAACGAGACAUUUCAGAGUUUGUAACGAGAUGUUUAUUUGGCAACAGGUGAAAGCCGAACAUCAAGUGCCUUCGGGUUUACUUCAGCUUUUGACUAUACCUGAGUGGAAAUGGGAUAGAGUUACGAUAGAUUUCGUAAUGGGGUUACCUUUGACUCCAAAGAAAAAAGAUGAUGUAUGGGUCAUUGUUGAUAGAUUGACAAAAUUGGCUCAUUUUAUUCUGGUACAUACCGAUUAUUCACUUGAUAAACUAGCCGAAUUGUACAUUACUGAAAUUGUUAGAUUGCAGAGAGUGCCUACUUUUAUUAUUUUAGAUAGAGAUUCGAGGUUUACGUCAUGAUUUUGGAAGAAAUUUCAAGAAGCGUUGGGUAUGAAAUUAAAUUUUAGUACCACAUUCGAUCUGUAGACUAACGGUCAAUCUUAGAGAGUGAUUCAAAUUCUCGAAGAUAUGUUUUGCUAUUGUGUUUUAGAGUCAAUGCUAGAUGGGAGAAAUAUCUACCGUUGGUCGAAUUUUCUUAUAACAAUGGUUAUCAAUCGAGUAUAAAUAUGGCAUCAUAUGAAGCAUUAUAUAGUCGCAAGUGUCAAACUCCAUUGUACUGGACCAAGCUUAGUAAGAAAUAGAUUCACGAGGUUAAUUUGGUUAGAGAAACCGAAGAGAAAGUGAAAGUAAUUCAUGAUUACUUAAAAGUAGCUUCGGAUCGACAGAAAUCGUAUGCGGAUUAAACAGAAGGAUAUCAAAAUUUAGGUUGGUGAUAAAGUGUUUUUAAAAGUAUCACCGUGGAAGAAAAUUCUUAGAUUUGGUCACAAAGGCAAGUUGAGUCCGUGUUUCAUUGGGCCGUAUGAGAUUAUUAAAAGAAUAGGGCUAGUGGCAUAUCAACUAACUUUGUCGUCUGAGUUGGAAAGAAUUCUCAAUGUGUUUCAUGUGUCAAUGUUGUGACAAUACCGAUCAGAUCCUUCGCGUGUCAUUUCUCCAAUAGAGAUUGAGAUUCGACCUGAUAUGACAUAUGGUGAAGAGCCGAUCAAAGUGUUAGCUCGAGAGGUUAAACAGUUGAGAAACAAAAGCAUAACUCUAGUGAAAGUUUUGUGGCAACGAUACAAGGUCGAAGAGGCUACGUGAGAACAUGAGGAAGCUAUGAGAAAAUAGUACCUCAGCCUCUUUUUCAGAAAGAUUUUUGGGCACGAAAAUCCCUUUAGAGGGAGAGUUGUAACAGCCCGUUUUUAGGUCAAAUUGAAACUGUGGUUUCGGGACCACAAAUGUAACGCCCCGUACCCGAGACCGUUGCCGGAGUCGAACACGAGGUGUUAACGGACUUAAUUCAUUUACUUACACAGUUCAUUUUAAAAUUUCUAGACAAGCUGGCUAACUGUAUCACAGUCACUUUAAAAAUAAUAUCUUGAGUUCCAAAACUUGAAAACUAAUUCCGUAAAUAUUUCCUGAAACUAGACUCAUAUAUCCAUCUACAAAUUUUUUUCUAGAAUUUUUGGUUGGGCCAAUUAGUACAGUUUAUUAGUUAAAGUCUCCUCUGUUUCAGGGUUUGACUACUCUGACCUCUGUGUAUUACGAAUUAGAUAUCUCCCUGUACAGAGCUUCAAUGACAAUGUCGUUUGUCUCUAAUAAAACUAGACUCAAUAUCGAAUCUGUACAUAUAAUUCAUGACUUUUAAUUAUCUUUUUAAAAUUUAUGGUGAAUCUCCAAAGUUAUAACAGGGGAUCCAGAAAUCGUUCUGGCCCUGUUUCACAAAUAUUAACACAUCUCACAAAAUAUAGCUCAUAUACCUGUUUUGCUUCUUCCAUAUGAAAAUAGACUCAUCAAGCUUCGAUUCCAUAUUUUAUUCAUUAUUUAAUUCCAUUUCUGCUAUUUUUAGUGACUUUAUAGACUCACUUCACUACUGCUGUCUAAAAAAUGUUUUGUGGUAAAUUUUACCUAUUUCAUGGUUUCCAUGGAUUAGCUAGUAAUUUGACAUACAUAGGACCAAAUAUGAUCAUAACUAGCCAUUCCAAUGGCUGAUCAUUUACCUAACAUUUCCAUACCACUCAAUAACCAAAUCAUAAGACCAUGCAUAUAUACACAAAAAUGAUUUUAAUGCCAUACUCAAAUUAUACGAGCCAUUUUCGCAUGGCUAUACACACAUACAUUACCAAAAGGUAUUUAAUUAACAACAAAAGUCAACCCUAUACAUGCCAUUAUCAAAGUUCAACUAAAAAUAUACCAAAAUGGCUUAGAUAGUGUGGACGACUUCGACUUUGACACUCCCGAGUUCGAUAGCUGACGAACAAAAUCUAUAAAACAGAGAAUUAAAGCAAAAGAUUAAGCACUUUGAUGCUUAGUAAGUUUAAGUAAUGAAAUCAUUUAAAAGAGUGGCAUAAUAAUAUCAAAGUUUACUUGUACCAUCAUUUGGCCGAAUAGUAACAUAAUUAAGGUACCAUUUUUUUUAUUCAUAGCACAAAGGUAAAAUCAAUAUAUCCAAUAAAAUUCAAUCUAUAGCCGAAUCCAUUCAUCUCAAAUUUCUAUGUCAAUCUCGUGCAUAUACACAUACAUCUCAUGUUUGUGAAAUUGAAUUCUCUAAUUUGGAACUCAUACAUCAUGAUCAGAUCGUAAAUAUUUGAAUGAUUUUAACAAUGGCCUAAGCAUACCCACCGAGUUGCGUAGUCAUAAUUUAAAAUCAAUCGUAUUCUCAACGAGAGUGAGUUACUUACCUGGUUAUCUUACAGUAAGUAGCACAUGUGAUUAAAAUUAUUCCAACAUGUAUUAUAUGAUUUCUCGUACGAACACUUAAGGGUUUUCACCCUCAAAUAUUACGCUGGCACAAACAUCCUUCGAAAUCAAGUCUGAUUCUUAGCACUGGCUCAAAAGCCCUUCGAGACCAAGCUCGGAUUAGACCACUGGCUCGAAGGCCCUUCGGAACUAAGUCCGGUUAUGACACUGGCUCUAAAGCCCUUCGAAGCUAAAUUCAGUUAUUAGCACUGGCUCAAAAGCCCUUCGAAACCAAGCUCGGAUUUAAACCCUGAUUAGCAUUCACACAUAUAUGCAUAUAUAUAUCAUAUCACAUCUGGAUAUCAUUCCUGAUACUCGAAUACAAUUACAGCAUGUUUACUAACCAUACAUCGUUCGAUUCAUUAAUCCUAAACAAACAACAUGAUCCCGUUUCAUUAAUCCACAAGAUUUUCAUAACCAUUCGGCUACAAGUAAAUACCUUACUUAUUUAUUUUGUCAUGUAAUUCAAGUAGAAUCGUUAGGUCACAAGUUAAUUAUUAUGCUCAUAGAUAAAUAAUUGCCUUAUUAAAUCAUAAGCUAAAUUUCAUUACUCAAAGACUUACCUCGAGUAUAAUUUGGGCAGUUACGGAUAGACUACUCGACUGCUUUCUCCUUUCCUUUAUCUGAUUUUGAUCCCCUUAGCUCUUGAGCUUAAAUUUAAACAAAUAAAUUUAUUUAAUUAUUUUUCACUUGGGCAAUUCCAUUCAAUACAUGUAUAUCAUAAUUUAAGUACAAUGACCUUGUUCAAUACUAUUUAAACAUCAUGCAUUAUCGAAUUUCAUCAACACCAUCUAACUUCAUAUAGAAACACAUAUCAUCCUAAGUCGGAACACAAGUCAAAUGCAUCAUUUAAAUUGUCAAAGUCCACUAAAUCUACUAUUAUAGCCUUAUAAGAUAUAUAUAUAUUUAUUACUAAGUUUAACAAAACAUAACAUAUGACUAAGCAAGCAUUCGUACAUGAAUCAUUACUCAACUUUACCAAUUAGAUAAUAUGCUUAAGACACCAUAAAAUACUCCAAAUUCUUUUCUCAUCAAUUCGACUAACUAAUUAAAUGUUAUGACACAUUAUAAAAUAACCUUACAACCACAAAGAAAGUUCGAUAAUAAGUCACAAUUUAGUCAUAUUUCUCUAUCAUAAUUUCUUCACUUAAACCGAAUUAGCAAGCCCAUAUAGUCUUUGGUCGAAUGCUAUUUAACCCAAGUCAUCAAGACUUUUAUUAUUUAACACCUUAGAUAUCAAUAGCUAAAUAUGUUAGUUGUACAUAUAUAUAUAUCAUCCAAAACCGAACAUAAGAAUUUUUCAUAUAUCUAACAUUAAUUAAAUUAUUCAAAACCUCACUAGCAAAAUAUCAUGUACUAUGCCGAAACAAAAAAAAAUCAAACACCUAGCUUAUCCAUUUCAAAACACUUAACCAGCCUUUGAUCAAGACUUUAAACAAAGUCUAUGUUCGGCUAUCACACAUAUGGGUAUUAUUAGUUUAAAGUUUUAACAAGAUUAACUUCUUUCAUCAACAAUCUUUUUGUUUCUUUUUCCAUCAAAACUUAAGGGUAAAAAAAAAUCAAGUUCUUCUCUUAUAUACCAUAACCGAAAGUUCCAUUCAACCAUCUAAAUUCAAAAUUUUAGUGUGGGCUAGGUAAAAAGCAUGAUGAUUAACCUAAAACAAACUAAGAUUUCAAAAAAAUUAACAUAAUUUACUAACCUUCUCUUGAUUCCAAAGGCCGAAUGUCCCCCCCCUCUUUUUCUUCUUCUUGUACGGCUUAGAAAAACAAGGUGAUACUUUGUUUUCUUCACCCUUCAUUUCCUUAUUUUAAUUACUUUUCCUUUUUAUUUAUUUAUGUUAUAAAAUAUAAAGCUACUAACUAAUAAUUAAUACAUAUUAUAUGUAUAUAAUCCCAUCAUGGCCGGCCACUACUUAUCAUAAAUGGAAAUUUGACAUGCAAACCCAUCAUUUUUAUAACAUGCAUUAAUAAGUCACUUCAACAUUUGCCUAACACAUUUCUAAAUUUUCUCACAUAAGUCCUAUUUAAUAAUUUCGCAUACAAAUGACAAAAAUUGAAGCAUGAAACUUUCACACAUGCCUUUUUCACAUACAAUAAACACAAAAUUUAAUGGUUAAUUAUUUUUACGACUCGGUUUUGUGGUCCCGAAACCACUUUCUGACUAAGGUCAAAUUAGGGCUGUCACAACAAAUUUCAAAGUAAAAAUAUUUAUUUUUUUGUUUCUUUAAGGUCUACAACUUGAUAGGAUAAUUGUGUGAAAAUUUCUUUAAUAAAUUUUAUUGAUUAAGCGCUCAAUUUGGCUAGAAGGACUAAAAUGCAAUAAGUGCAAAAAUUGAAUUCUAUAAGUUAAAGGUGUCUAAUUGUUAUGAAAUUUUAAUUAGAGGUCAUUAAAUGGUAAUUAGACAAUUAUACCUUAGGAUGGACAAAAAUGGACAUGGUUAGGUGAAAUUUCAAAGUUAUGCAUUAAGGGUAUUAUAGUAAUUUGGCUAAUAAGGACAAAAUUAACUAAAUAAAAUAUGUCCAUCUUCUCAAUUUCAUCCCCCAUAGCUGAAAUUCACAAGGAGUCCGUAGCUAGGGUUUUUGCCACUUUCAACCUCGAUUUUACGUCCAUUCUUAUACCGUUUUUAAUGAUUUCUAUGUUUUUGAAGUUGUCUUAACCGAAUCUAGCAUUUUCAAGGAAUAAUUUGAAGAAGGAUUAAAACUUUAAAUUUGACCCAUGAUGAAUAUGUGUGUAUUUUAAUGUUUGAUGGUAGAAAAUGCAUGUUUGUUGUUUGUUAAAUAACUUUUGUAGAGUGAUUUUCGGUAAAAACGUCAAAUAGGACUUAUUUGCAAAAGUCUAUAAAAUGUGAAGAAAAGUGUGGAUAAAUGAAAAAUGUGGGCUUUUAUGUGUACAAACUACAUUCGGCUAGGCUUAGGUUGUAAAGAAAUAGAAAGAAAUUCAUUUUACGAGCCUAGGGACUAAAUUGUAAAAUGUUGAAAAGUUAGGGGCAAAAAUGUAAACUUUACCAUAAUGUGUCUUUGGGACUGAAUUGAAUAAUUUGAUGAUUAAAUAAGUUAAAUAUGGUAUUAUAGAUUAAGAAAGAUGACUAGAUCGGGGAAAAGCCAAAGUAAUUGACGACUAGAUCUCUUUGGCCGUUUUUGUAAUAGAGGUAAGUUCGUAUGUUAAUUAAACUUUACUUUAAAUGUGUUUUCAAUGCUUUAAUUUGUGCAUGAAUUGUGUAAUCGACCUGACGAACACAUUUGACAACGAUUUGGUAAGCGAGAAUUCCCAAUCGAACUUUAGGAAUAGAUUAGGACACAACUGACAUGUCACUAGGGUUUUACAUUAUGUGAUCCGGGUGCUUGUCUUGUACGUCCUACUAGUGGCUGAGUAUAUCGGCAUAUGUUGCAAUUACUUGGCAGCUUGUGUGAGUAGCACCAAGCAGCUACGUCUUAACUGAUAGCUUGUGUGAGCAGGCCCGUUGUUAACUCGAGAGCGAACAUAUAUGUGAUAUAAGAUAGAGGUAGCAAUGGCUACAUAUGUUGCACCUUGUGUGCAAGGUUUCUUGAGUAUUCAAAUUUAUUAUUCUAAGUGGUUCAUUGUGUAACAUCCCGAAAUAUGGCCUAGUCAGAAUAGUGGUUUCAGGACCACAAAUCUACAUCAAAAUAUUUAUUUCAUGAUUAUUAUGAGGCCUAGAAUAUAAGUAUAUGCAUGUGUUAAAGUUUCAUGAAGAAAUUCUAAGUAUAAGGUGUCUUAUUGGAAAAUAAGGGACUAAAUUGAAUAAAUUACAAAACUUGGAUUCUAGAAGCUAUUUGUAUGAAAUUGCUUUAGAUUAUGAAUUAUAAGGUCUUGGAGAGCAAUUUUCCCAAAUUCUAAAUUUUUAGACAAAAAUGGACUUGCAUGGAUGAAAUUUUAAAGAAAGGGCAUAAGGGCAUUUUGGUCAUUUUUCUUUUUAAUGAAUUAAAAUGGGAAAAAUCAAGCCAAAAUCAGCCAUUUUCUCCUUCAUCCAGCUAAAAAUUUGGGGUCUCCAUAGCUAGGGUUUCAAGCUUUCCAAGCUCAAUAGUAAGUGCACCCAAGCCCCGUUUUUCAUGCUAUUUGUAUUUUUGAAAUCCCGGUAGCUUGCUAUCUCCAUUUUACCCAUAUUUAUUGCUAGGGUUCAUGUUUAAAAAUUUACCCAUGCAUGAGUUGUUUUUAUUUUGAUGGAUUAUGGAGGAAUAUGAAAGAUGAAUGUGUAUUAAACAUCUUUUCCUAGUUGAUUUUCAUGAGAAACUCUUAUAGGGACUAUUUUGCAAAAGAUUUAAAUGUGUGGUAGAAAUGAGAAAAUAAUGAAAAAUGUGGGCUACCAUGAGAAAGAAAAGUGUUCGGCUAGGCUUGGGUAAGAUAAAAAGUGCAUGAGUUUCAUUAUACGAGCCUAGGGACUAAAUUGUAAAAAUGAGAAAGGUUAGGGGCAAAAUGGUCAUUUGGACCAGGGGUAGAUAUUAAACUUGAAAUGUGGGGUAUUAAUGAGUUAAUUUGGCUGUUAUAGACCCCAAGGAACAAAUUCCGGAGGUUGAUCGUGGUAAACGCACGGUUUCGAAAUAACCGAAACAUAUCACUGAAACGAAUACUAGGUAAGUUCGAAUAACUUAAACUAAACCCUUAAUAAGCAUAAUUGUAUGAUUUAUGAAUGCUUGAUGAUUGCAUUUAUUAUUGGCAUAAAAUUUUCUGACCCGAGUUAAUAUACUAAAAGUGUAAAGUUUUGGUAAUGCCUCGAGCCCUGUUCUGGUGUUGGAUAUGGGUGAGGGGUGUUAAUUUAUUGGUAUCAGAGCUACAAUUUAGUCGAUUCUAGGACUACCGUAAAGGAUGUUAAAGUUCACUAUACAUGCCAUUAUUUGAGUGUUGAUAGUGUGACGUCUCCUAAUUGUUUAAAUUGUUUUGAAUAUAGUAAAUGUUUUCCAAUCGAGCACAAGAUGAGUCCGAGGGAGCCGAGAGCCAUGCUCCAGGUUUCGUACAGCAAACUGUAUCAGUAGUAGUAGAAGGCUGAUGUCAGAAGACCGAGAAGAGGCCUGAGCUACCUUCUUUGAUAUGAUGGAUGAAUGGUUUGGGGAUUAUCUAAGAAAUCGCCCCAAUAUACCAAGACCACCCCACCCCCUAACCAACCAGAUGAGGAUGUGCCACGAAGUAUGGCACCAGUGAGAAUUGGUAAAGCCCCUGUUGAUAAGCUUAGGAAGUAUGGGCUGAGGAAUUUAGAGCGAAAGUUGAUGAUGAUGCUGAAAGAGUAGAGUUCUGGCUCGAGAACACUACGCGGGUGCUAGAUGAUUUGUCAUGCACACUGGAGGAAUGUUUGAAGUAUGUUGUGUCCCUUUUGAAGGACACUGCAUACAGUUGUUAGAAAAUCGUAUCCUCGGUAGUGCCGAAAGAGAAUAUUACUUGGGAUUUCUUCCAAUCAGAGUUUAGGAAGAAAUAAAUUAUCCAACGGUCUUUGGACUCGAAGCGAAAGGAGUUCCUGGAACUUAAACAAGGUAACAAGACUGUAGCGGAAUACGAGAGAGAGUUCGUACGACUAAGUUAGUACGCAACUGAAUGGGUCCAAACUGAAUCGAAAAUGUGUAAACGCUUCGAGGAAGGCUUGAAUGAGGACAUGAAAUUGUUAAUUAGGAUCUUGGAAAUACGGGAGUUUGCAGCAUUGGCCGAUCGAGCCAAGAAGGCUGAGGAACUUAAUAAUGAAAGAAAACAAGCUAAAAGAGAGGCUCGAGUUGCGAGCAAGAGGCCUAGCGGUAAAACACUCUCGUUCUCCACGAAGAAAGCUAGGAGUCAACAAGAACACUCCACUUUGUUAGUGGGAUAUUCGAGUAGAUCAAGAAGCUCUAAGCGACGAGGUCAAAAGUCUUCCUCCCCGAUGGUGACUAGUGUGGGGAGGGUAAAUGAUCAAAAACCGAAGUGUAAUAGUUGUAACAAAUUUCACUUUGAAGAGUGCCGAAUGAAAAGAGGCGCAUGUUCCAGAUGUGGUUCUCUUGAUCAUUUUCUCAGAGACUGCUCGAAACGAGCUAAAAAAGAUGAGGAAAUAGCUCUAAAGUCGAAUGCUCCCAUUCCACGAGGUAGACCUCCGAGAUACCCUGGGAGUGCUAGUGGCAGUCGAGUCGUGACUAAAGACGCUGCAAAAUCAGAAGUUCGAGCCCCAGCAAGUGUAACACCCCGUACCCGAGACCAUCGCCGGAGUCGAACACGAGGUGUUAACAGACUUAAUUCAUUACUUAAACAGCUCAAACAAUUUAUUUUUAAAAUUUUCAGUCAAGCUAACAAUCUGCGUCAUAGUCGAUUAAAAAUUCAUAUCUUGAGUUACGAAACUUGAAAUCAAAUUCCAUAAAUUUUUCCUGAAACUAGACUCAUAUAUCUAUUUACUAAUUUUUUUCUAGAAUUUUUGGUCAAGCCAAUUAGUACAGUUUAUUAGUUAAAGUCUCCCCUACUUUAGGGUUCGACUGCUCUAACCUCUGUGUAUUACGAAUCAGAUAUCUCCCUGUACAGAGAUUCAAUGACUAUGUCAUUUGUUUCUAAUAAAACCAGACUCAAUAAGGAAUCUGUACAUAUAAAUCAUGACUUCUAAUUAUCUUUAAACAAUUUAUGGUGAAUUUCCAAAGUCAGAACAGGGGAUCCAGAAAUCGCUCUGGCCCUGUUUCACAAAAAUUUAAACAUCUCAUAAAAUAUAGCUCAUAUACCUGUUUUGUUCCAUCCAUAUGAAAAUAGACUCAUCAAGAUUCGAUUCCAUAACUUAUUCACCAUCUAAUUGUAUCUCUACUAUUUUUAAUGAUUUUUCAAAAUCACGUCACUGCUGCUGUCUGAAUCUAUUUUAUGGUAAAUUUUACCUAUUUCAUGUUUUCCAUGGAUUAGCUAGUAAUUUAGCAUACAUAACACCAAAUAUGAUCAUGAUUAGCCAUUCCAAUGGCUAAUCAUUACCAAGCAUUUCCAUACCACUCAAUAACAAUAUCAUAAGACCAUAUAUACAAAAUGAUUAUAAUGGUAUACAUGCCAUACUCAAAAUAUGCAAGCCAUUAUGCCAAGAUGGUAUACGGAUAUAGUGUGAGCAUGCCUCCGACCGUUCCCGAUUUCCGAGCUGGCUUGUCAACACUACAAGGAAUGAAAAGGAGGGAGUAAGCAUAAAUGCUUAGUAAGUUCACAUGCAAAUAGCAAGUAACAUAACUAUAUAAGCAAACAUAAAACAUCAUUUGCAUAAUCAUCACCAAGACAUUCAUAUCACAUUUUCAUUUAUCAUCUUACCAUAUUGUUGUUAUAUCAAGUUUUCAACCCGAGGGUUAAGUACAUACCUGUUCAAAGUAUUCAUUUCACAAUACUUACCAAUACGUCCCUUUCAUCUUGAGUAUUCCUCCAUUUGAGUAAAACUUUACCCGUUGAACACAUCGGAAUAUAAUUCGGAUACAUGGAAAGUUUGCACAUAAGUGCCACAUAUGUAGCCAAGCUACUAUGUAACCCGCCCAUAAGCGAACUCGAACUCAACUCAACGAGCUCGGGCAUUUGCAUCCAUGAGUGAACUCGGACUCAACUCAACGAGUUUGGAUGCCUAGUUACAUCUCACGAACUCGGACUCAACUCAACGAGUUCGGACAUUCGCAUCCAUAAGUGAACUCGGACUCAACUCAACGAGUUCGGAUGCCCAAACAUCCUAGUAACAUGUCACUUGUAUCCUAAUCUAUUCCUAAGGUUCAAAUGGGCGUUUUCCUGGAUCACACAUCUUUGCCAUCUUCCACGGAAUAUCAAAAUUGAUACUUCGGUGAUAGUUCAUACUCAUCAAGUAAUUCACAUAAUUACAUAUUAUUCAACAAUAACCACAAAGCAUAAUAUUUCAUUAUAAUAAUCAGCAUCAUAUCAUAUAAACAACAUUAAAUUGCUUAAAAUGACAAUUAUGUUACUACAUUUACACAUGAACUUACCUCGAAUGCGAAAAUGGCUACUUUUACCAUUUCGUCCACAACUUGGUAUUUUCCCUAUUUUAGCCCGAAUUUUAGUUUUCCUUGAUCUAUCAUUUAAAAUAUAGUCUAAUUAGGACUCACAUUAUUCAAAUUGACCCAAAAUCAUAUUUUGGAAAAAUUACAAUUUUGCCCCUAAACUUUUGCAUAUUUACACUUUUUCCCCAAAGCUCGUAAAUUAAACUUCAGCCUAUUUUCUUAUGUUUUAUGACACGCUGAUCAUUUUUCCCUUCUAUGGCAACAUCAAAUUCUCACUCUAACAUGUACUUAUGACUAUUAGGUAUUUUUACCGAUUAAGCCCUUUUGCUCGUUUUCACUUAAAACCGAGUAGCACAAGUUGUCUAACAUAAUUUAAAACCUCAUAUUCUAUCAUAAAACACCAAAAUACACAAAUUUCACCUAUGGGUAUUUUUCCAAAUAUAAACCGUAGGUUAAAUUAUUGCUAGCAUAAGCUAAAUCGAGCUACCGGGACUCCAAAAACGUAAAAAUCAUUAAAAACGAGGCUAGAACGGACUUACAAUCAAGCUUGGAAGCUUGAAAAACCCUAGCCAUGGUUUCUCCAUGCUAUAUUCGGCCAUGGGGUUGAAGAUGAGCAAAAUUGGCUUUUAAUUUUGUAUUUUAAUUCAUUUUACCCCUAAAUGACCAAAAUCCCUUACUACUAAACUUUCCAAAAAUUCCAUCCAUGUCCAAUUUUUGUCCAUAGACUUAGAAAUUGGUAAAAUUGCUAUUUAAUACCUCCUAAUUAAUAUUUCAAAACAAUUUCAUACUAGAAACUUCUAGAAUGCAAGUUUUGCAAAUUAUUCGAUUUAGUCCCUAAUUUCAAUUUAAGCACUUUAUGCAUAAAAUUUCUUCACGAAAUUUUCAUAGAAUUAUGCAAUCAUAUCAUAGACCUUAAAAUAAUCAUAAAACAAUUAUUUCUAACUCGGAUUGUAUGGUCACGAAACCACUAUUCCGACUAGGCCCAAAAUCAGGAUAUUACAACUCUCCCCCCUUUUAGGGAUUUUCGUCCCCGAAAAUCUUACCAGAAAAGUGGUCUUCACUUUUAAUCUCAUAUUCGGUGCCGAAGAACUUUCACUUAGACUGUACCUCCAAUACAUCUCUUUAAUUUUUCAUAUGAUCUGAAAGCUUACAGUUUCAACUCUCAACUGUUCUUAAAUUUUCAACCCUUCUCAGUUUCCCAUGAUAUCAUGACAUAAAACCCGGAUCUUAACUUGAUUAAUGGAGACCAGAAUUUCAAGAAAUCCAACAAUCAAAGAGACCUGAAAUUCCAUGAAUCUGAUGAGUAGGAAUUCAUUCAAUACAUAUAUGAUUUAUAGAUCUCGCCAAACAUUUAACAAUAGGAUACAUCACAUUUUCCUCUUUCUGCCAUGGAAAUAAUUCUGAUAUGGCCUCAAGAAUAAUCCUUCUCAUUUCCACCCCGAUAUCAACACUACAAGGAUAAUUUUGAUAGAUCCCAAUGCUCGGCUUUAACCCCUUUAACAACUCCGAUUUUAUGUAACAUCGAAUGCUCUAAACUAUCACAUUACCUCACUGUCUUGAAACACAUCACAAUUCAUACAACAGUACAUUACUGAAAGUCAGGAAGUCUUUACUCAAUGUAGACUAGUCUAGUUCAGACGCUUCGAUUACCAAUAUUCUCAUCUAUCCGAACUCUGUCAACAUGUAAUAAAGUUUUCAUCUUUCACAAGACGAAAACCUUAUCAUUCGUAGUGAUUUUAACUAAUAUCAAACUCUUUCUAAUAAAUAUACACUUCUCGUUCAAACUAUUUACUCUUUUAUUCGUACAAAAUGACAUUCUAUUAUCAGACUUGGGAAAAAUAAUCCUGAAAUAAUUGUCACAUGAAAUCUUUCAAAUAGAUAAUUCACCAUACCGAAUGAAACUUGCGCUUUUAUCAAUUGUGUCUUUACUGAUGUCAAAUCCUUACACAGAAAUUAGAAAAAACCCCAAUACUAAAAUCACCACAUUACCAAGAUCAAAUUAGAAGUAUAGUCAUAUUUGACAUGAUUAUCACGAGCUGAAGAACGCACUUCGAACACGAGUCAUAAUUGACAAAUUAUGGAACAAAGAUAACAAGGAAACUGAAUAAAGAAAUCCAAGAUAGAGAAAUCCAGAAUAAAGAAUUCUAGAAUAAAGAGAUCCAGGAUAAAGAAACCCAAGAUAUGAUACUAUGCCGGAGAAUCAAAAACCAAACUCAUAGAGAAAAUACAGAAUACCCCGAUAAUUAUUCAAAGAAAGAAAGUCCAAAAGAAAACAUCAUUUAAUCCCACUGGAAUCAAAUAUAACAAGAACAAUAUAUCUUCCCAUACAUAUAUAUCAGAUGAAGCAUCAAGUAGAAGAAACAGAAACAUAAUAUCUUACGUAUUCUCUCAUCAAUUCUUAUCAGACGAAAUGAAAUAGAAUACCCGAUGAAAUAGAGCAAUAUAAAUUAUAAACUAGUCAGACUACCAAUGCUUUCAUCCAACACUAGGAUUAAAAGACAUUCCCAUAUAACAAGAAUUUCUUCAGAAGAUCAAUAGCCAUAGAAAUAUUUCUGAGAACGGGUAAACACAUAGAACAUCUCAGAAGAGACUGCUAAAUUUGUCCAGUCAUAACUGUCACACUCAGAUAGUUCACAUUUCAAUUAUCAUUUCCCCAACUAGUUCUGUCGUCACAAAUUUCAUAUUAAACCAUUCGCUAAAGAAGGUCAGUUCUGAAUAAAUUUCGAUUUACACUUUUCUCGACCUUGCACCUGAGUAAUUCAGUUUACCAAGGAGAAUUCCUUUUCUAACUGAGACAGUGCAUAACUCCAAUAAUCUUUACGUCAAUCUGAUACUUUACUGGCUCUGACUUUACUUAUCAGCUCAUUUUCAAUCUCUAAUCAUACUUAUGAUUAUUCUAUCACUGAACUCUUUGGGUUCUCAACCGAAAACUUAUUCAAUACAAAUCUCAUGAAAUUCCAUUAUAAGUACCACUUUGGUAAGGGGGAGGGGUUGUAGGACCUCUGAUUCAACUUUAUUAUACAUACACAUAUGACACAACUCCCAUUAUCAUAGCAAUAUCAUCAAAAUCAUGUCAUUCAUUCAUGUUGGCUUACACCAAUUUUCCUAUUGUUCCAUUUAGACAAUAUCCUUAUGCAUACAUUCUAUGUUUUCUAGAUAGCUUUACUUAUCCAUUCAUUUAAUUAAUUUAAUUCAUGCUCAUGACAUCAUAUAAGGCCAAACAAACAUAGAUAUUUGCAUCACAAUCACAACUUUCAUUUCGUGCAUCAUCAUGUACAUAUCAUUACAAUCAUAUAAUUCAGUCCAACAAUUUAACAUAGAUAAGUUCAUUUCAUUAUAAUCCUUUAUCUCAUAAAAAUUGUAUAUCAUUAACAUUCAUCAACAUUCAACGUCCAAUCAACACAAGGACAUUUUCAUUCGUAUCAUGAUAUUAUGACCUUUAUUCAUACCUCUACUACUUUCUAUUUAUUCUGUUCAUCUUAUCAAGUAAGUCACAUACACUACAUCGUAUGAGCAUUAAGCAAAUAUAGAUAUUUAUCACAUAUGUAUCAUAAACUUUUAUUCAUACUUUUCUGAACCGAGACUUAUCAUAAUCAUAAUUUUACUCAAAUACCUUCACAUAACAUUGAAAAUGGUCGGCGCAGCUCGGUUGGAGAGUACCCUGUCUAAAUAAGACGGUACUCAUACGCGUCGGAAGACAUCACACUAUCACAGAUCAGUGGCAUGUAUAGCUAAACUUUUACACAUGCUAGGUUAGUCCGAGAACCGACUAAACCUACUCUGCUACCACCAAAUGUAACGCCCCGUACCCGAGACCGUUUCCGGAUUCGAACACGAGGUGUUAACAGACUUAAUUCAUUACUUAAACAGCUCAAACAAUUUAUUUUUAAAAUUUUCAGUCAAGCUAACAAUCUGCGUCAUAGUCGAUUAAAAAUUCAUAUCUCGAGUUAAGAAACUCGAAAUCCAAUUCUGUAAAUUUUUCCUGAAACUAGACUCAUAUAUCUAUUUACUAAUUUUUUUCUAGAAUUUUUGGUCAAGCCAAUUAGUACAGUUUAUUAGUUAAAGUCUCCCCUGUUUUAGGGUUCGACUGCUCUGACCUCUGUGUAUUACGAAUCAAAUAUCUCCCUGUACAGAGAUUCAAUCACUAUGUCGUUUGUUUCUAAUAAAACUAGACUCAAUAAGGAAUCUGUACAUAUAAACCAUGACUUCUAAUUAUCUUUAAACAAUUUAUGGUAAAUUUCCAAAGUCAGAACAGGGGAUCCAGAAAUCGCUCUGGCCUUGUUUCAUAAAAAUUUAAACAUCUCAUAAAAUAUUCGGCCAUGGGGUUGAAGAUGAGCAAAAUUGGCUUUUAAUUUUGUAUUUUAAUUCAUUUUACCCCUAAAUGACCAAAAUUCCCUUACUACUAAACUUUCCAAAAAUUCCAUCCAUGUCCAAUUUUUGUCCGUAGACUUAGAAAUUGGUAAAAUUGCUAUUUAAGACCUCCUAAUUAAUAUUUCAAAACAAUUUCAUACUAGAAACUUCUAGAAUGCAAGUUUUGCAAAUUAUUCAAUUUAGUCCCUAAUUUCAAUUUAAGCACUUUAUGCAUAAAUUUCUUCAUGAAAUUUUCAUACAAUCAUGCAAUCAUAUCAUAGACCUUAAAAUAAUCAUAAAAUAAUUAUUUCUAUCUCGGAUUUUGUGGUCACGAAACCACUAUUCUGACUAGGCCCAAAAUCAGGAUAUUACAGCAAGAACGUAUCCGAUACGUGCCCGAGAGGAAGCCGCUGCUCCUAAUGUUAUUACGGGUACCUUCUCUCUUUUUAAUAUAAGUGUUGUUGCUUUAAUUGACCCGGGCUUAACGCAUUCAUAUAUCUACAUAAGAUUGGCGUCUAGUAUGAACAUACCUGUUGAACAUACGAAAGAUAUUAUUAGAGUGUCGAACCCACUAGGCAAGUCGGUUCUAGUUGAUAAAAUAUGUAAGAAUUGUCCUUUGACGAUUCAAGGUCGUUCUUUCCCGGCUAACCUUAUGUUGUUACCAUUUGAUGAAUUUGAUGUAAUACUUGGUAUAGAUUGGUUAGGCCUUCAUGAUGUAACAGUGAAUUGUGGUAGUAAGUACAUUAAGUUGAAAUGCUCGGAUGGUAAGACUUUAUGGGUUGAAUCAAGAGAAUUGGGUUCAUCGCCGGUUGUAAUCACGGCGAUGGUUGCUCAGAGAUAUAUGAGGAAAAGAUAUGAAGCCUACCUUGAAUUUGUGAUGAACACUAAGGAAACUGAAUUGAAGAUUGAGUCUAUGCCGAUAGUUUGUGAGUACCCAGAUGUGUUUCCGAAGGAAUUACCCAGAUUACCUCCUAAAAGGGAAAAAAAGUUUGGUAUUGAAUUGGUGCCAAGAUGACUCCCAUUUCUAUUGCCCCGUACAGAAUGGAACCUACAGAGUUGAAGGAGUUAAAAGCACAGUUGCAAGAGCUAACGAAUAAAGUAUUUGCUAGGCCAAGUUUUUCACCUUGGGGUGCCCCCGUGUUGUUUGUAAAGAAGAAAGAUGGUACGAUGAGGUUACGUAUCGAUUCUCGACAACCGAACAAGGUAACUAUCAAGAAUAAGUAUCAUUUGCCAAGGAUCGAUAAUUUGUUUGACCAGUUGAGAGGAGCCAUUGUAUUCUCUAAGAUAGACUUAAGGUCUAGCUAUUAUCAACUGCGAGUUAAAGACUCGGAUGUACCCAAGACAGCUUUCAGAACGAGGUAUGACCAUUAUGAAUUUCUUGUCAUGCCGUUUGGACUGACGAAUGCACCAGCUGUAUUUAUGGAUCCAAUGAAUAGAAUCUUUCAGCCAUAUUUGGAUAAGUUUGUCGUUGUGCUUAUUGACGACAUUUUGAUCUACUCUAAAUAUGAGACAGAGCAUGCGAAGCACCUGAGAAUUGUGUUGCAUACCUUGCGGGAAAAGCAACUAUAUGCUAAGUUUAGCAAGAGUGAGUUUUAGCUCCAGGAAGUUGGAUUUUUGGGUCAUAUAGUUUCGGGUGAAGGCAUCCGACUUUAUACAAGUAAGAUUUCUAUAAUUGUUGAAUGGAAAUUGCCUAAGAAUGUAACCGAGGUUAGAAGCUUUUUAGGCUUAGCCGGUUACUAUCGAAGAUUUGUAAAAGGAUUUUCCAUAAUAGAGACUCCGAUGAAGAAGUUGCUACAGAAAGACGUUAAGUUUGAAUGGACGGAGAAGUGUCAACAAAGUUUUGAAAGUUAAAGACAUUGCUGACUGAAGCUCCUGUUUUAGUGCUACCUGAAUCGGGAAAAGAAUUUUUGGUCUACAGUGGUGCAUCCUUAAAUGGAUUGGGUUGUGUGCUUAUGCAAGAUGGCAAGGUGAUAGCCUAUGCUUCACGGUAAUUGAAGCCCUACGAGAAGAAUUAUCCAACCCACGACCUAGAGCUGGCUGCUAUUGUUUUUGCCUUAAAAAUUUGUAUUGCGAGACUUGCCGUAUAUUCAUGAACCACUAGAGUUUGAAAUACUUGAUGACUCAGAAAGAAUUAAAUUUGAGAUAGCGGAGAUGGCUAGAACUAAUUAAGGAUUAUGAUUUGAUUAUCGACCAUCACCAGGGAAAGGCGAAUGUGGUCGUCGAUGCAUUUAGUAGGAAAUAUUUGUAUGCUUUGAGAGCUAUGGAUGCUCGUUUGACAUUGCUUGAUGAUGGUUCAGUUUUGGCCGAGCUGGAGGCUAGGCCGACAUUUCUGCAGGAAAUUCAUGAUGCUCAGUUUAAUGAUGAUGACUUGCAAGCAAAAAGGGCUCAAUGUGAGUCUGGUGUUGAAUCAGAUUUCUGAAUCAGUCCUGAUGGAUGCUUAAUGUUUAGAGAUAGGGUUCGUGUACCCAAAGACAAUGAACUUAUUCAGGAGAUUUUGCAAGAAGCCCAUAACAGCCGUUUGUCUACUCACCCGGGAAGUACUAAGAUGUACAACAAUUUAAGAAGAUGUACUGUGGAGCAGCAUGAAAAGAGAUGUUUCUGAAUUUGUAUCAAAAUGCCUAGUAUGUCAGCAAGUUAAAGUUGAACAUCAAGUGCAUUCAGGUUUGUUACAGCCUGUAAUGGUCCCCAAAUGGAAGUGGGAUAGAGUUACCAUGGACUUCGUGACAGGACUUGUGACACCCCUAAUGUGACCCUAGUCAGAAAGUGGUUUCGGGACCACAAAAUCGAGUCAUAAAAAUAAUUAACCGUCAUAUUUGAUGCUUAUUAUAUAUAUAUAGGCAUGUGUGAAAAUUUCAUGUUUAAAUUUGUUAAUUGUAAGUGAAUUUUAUUAAAUAGGACUUGUGUGAGAAAAUUUAGAAAUGUGCUAGGCAAAUGUUAAAGUGGCCUAUUGAUGCAUGUUAGAAAAUGCUUGUCCUUGCAUGUCAAAUUACCCAAAACUUUAGGUAGUGGCCGGCCAUGAUAUGGGUUAAAGCAUAUUAUAAACAUUUUGUGUUAAUGUUUUAUGUUAGAAAUAAUAAAAUAAAAGGUUAGUAAUAAAGUAAUGAAAAGGGAGGGGUGAUGAAAACAAAGUUGUCUCAUCCAUGCUCCCCCAUUGCCGUGACUUGAGGAAGGAAGAAGAAGAAAGUUUGGUUGCUUUGAUUUUUGGCUUAGAAGAUGGCUAGAAUGAGGUAUGUAUUGAAGGAUUCUUGAAAAUCUAUGCAUGUUUGAGAUGAUUAGUUCAAACUCUACUUAUCCCAUAGAUUAAACUUAGAAUUUUGAGGUUUGAGAUUCGGUCAAUAAGCUUGAAACUCAUAGUAGUUUGUUUUGGUAAGCUUGGUAUACGGAUGAUAGAUGUGUUUUGGUUUUGGUUUGAUAACGAUGUGAAUGAUGGUGAUUUUCGGUCAUGUAUUAACUUAAAUUGUAAGUAUGAUUUAUGGUAUAAUUUGUGUGAUGGAAUGGUCUUGAGAUUUGGCUUGAUUAAAUGGGUAAAAUGCUAAGUGUUUUAAAGAUGAUGUAAUGGUUAUUUCGGUUUAUGUGAAGUAAAUAUAGAUGAUGGUUAUAAGCUGUUUUAUGAUUUGAUAAUGGUGAUUAAAUCUUGUAGUUAAGUGUUUAGAUAUAUAUAUAUUAAUAAUGAAUUUAGUUGUACUUGCUAUGUGAGAAAUGUGCAAUGCUAUAGGUAUUUGAUUAUUAGAUAUGGUUAUUUUAAGUUGAUUUGUAAUGGUAUGAUUGCAUUGAUGAAUUGGUUUGGAAAUGGUGGGAAGAAUUGGCUAUUAUGCUUGAUACUAAUGCCGAAUAUGAGAAUGUUGUACUUGAAAAAUGUAGGUGAACAUGACAAGUGUAUUCGGCUUAGGGCAUAAAGGAUAUGAAAAUUUGGUAUUUAUUUUUUAUUGUGUGUGUAUGACCAUGGAUAAUUGGCUGCACAAAUAUUAUGAAUACAUAAUGUAUGUUAAAUUUAUUAAGCUACAAAACAUUAUACAUGAUCGGCCAAGGUAAAUUAUUUGAGUAAAGUAUAUCUUGAUGGUACAUUUCGGCUAGUAUAAAAUGUAUAUGGAUGUCGUAUGACUAUGUUUAAUUUGGGAAGUAAAUUGUUUGAUUUAGCUCAAGAGCCUAGAGGAUCAAAGUUGGAUAAGGGAAAGGAAAAAGUGAUCGAAUAGCCGUCGUAAUCGUUCCGCAACUUCCGAGGUAAGUUUUAAGUGAUUAAACGUUGAGUAAAUUCAAUCAUAAUAGGACAUAAUGAGUUGAUUUAAUAAGAUAUGAUGUGGCCAUGAUAUGUCUUAAACUCAAAUGGUAAGUUCAUAAGUGUUUGGACUUGGAAAUUUAAGAGCAAAUUGUAAUAAUUUGUUUAGGACAGUAGCAGUAACGUGAUUUUAGAAAAUCACUAUAAAUUGUUGGUGUGGAAUUAUAGGCUGAAUAAAAUAUGUAUUCAAAGCUUAAUUAGUCUAGUUUCUUAUAAAAGAGACCUUGUAAGCAAAGAAAUUUCCUAUAAAGAGAUAUUUAAAGUUGUGUGAGAUAGUGUCAGAAUGACUCCGAAAUCCCCUGUUCUGUUUUUAGAAAAUCAUUAUAAUUUGUAAAAAAAUUGUUAUAAGAUCAAAUUUAUAUUCUUAGACUCCUUAAUUAGUCUAGUUUCAAAUGAAAUCAAAUAGAACAUAUUUUGAAUUCUGUACAAUGAGAAAUUUGAUUCGUAGUGAAGAGUGGUCAGAUUAGUCAAACAGUGAAACAGGGAAAACUUUAAGAAAAAUCUGGUAUUGAUUGGCCAAACCUAAAAUUAUGAAAAUUUUAUGGAUGGAAGAUAUAUGAGUCUAUAUUCAGGGAAAAUUAACAGCAAUUGAUUUUGAGUUUUGUAGCUCCAGUUAUAAAUAAUUUAGUGACUAUUGCUCAGGAAAACAGCUUGUAGUGAAUAUGUGAAUUUGUUGUAAACAUUGAUGAAACUAUUUGAGUUGCUUAUAAGCUAUUGCUGAAAUUGAUGUACAAGAUAAAUAUAUAUGUAUAUGUGGUAAAGCUGAAUGGCUAAUGUGAAAUAUGUAUGAGAUAUGUAUAUGUGGUAAAGCCGAAUGGCUAAUGUGAAAUAUGUAUGAGAUAUGUAUAUGUGGUAAAGCCAAAUGGCUAAUGUGAAAUAUGUAUGAGAUAUGUAAUGUACCUAUGUUUAUAAGAGAUCACUAUCAAGUGAGAAUUUAUCUGCCUAUUAUAUAUGAUGAGAUGUGCAUAUUCGGUAAAGGGAUGGUAUGCCCGAAGGAAGAGUGAAAUAAAAAUACGAACAACUAUGUUAUAAUUUGAUUGUUAUCUGUUGACACUGCUUAAAACUUACUAAGCAUUGUAAUGCUUACUCCGUUUACUUUGUUUCCUCUGUUUUAUAGAUCUCAUUUGGAAGCUACAGGCUCGGGGAUCGUCAGCAACUAGUCACACUAUCACUAUCCACUGCUUGUUACUGUUAUGUUUUGAAUUAUUUUAUGGCAUGUAAAGACUAGACCAGUGACCGAAGAAUAUUUUGGUUAACGUAUAUAAGCCAUGCGAAAAUGACAUCUUUUGAAUGUGUACUUAUAGAAGUUAAAUCGUAUCCCUGACUGUCUUUAGUAUUUACCUAAAGGAACGUUCUUUAUAAAAAAUAAAAUAAUAAAAUAAAAUAAAAUAUUCAAAAUUUUUACUGUUCAGAUAUGAGUUUCAAGUCCGGUAAUACCCCUUUACCUAUUCCGGCGAAGGAUACGGGAUAGGGGUGUUACAGGACUACCUAUGACUCCGAAAAAGAAAGGUGCCAUAUGGGUUAUAGUGGAUAAAUUGACAAAGUCAGCUCAUUUCAUUCCGGUAAGGAUGGAUUAUUCUCUUGAUAGAUUGGCUGAUUUGUACAUUUCUUAGAUAGUAAGAUUACACGGAGUACCACUGUCGAUUAUUUCGGACAGAGACCUGAGGUUCACUUCAAGAUUCUGGAAGAAGUUACAAGAAGCCUUAUGUACGAAGUUGAGUUUUAGUACAGCUUUUCAUCCUCAGACCGAUGGUCAGUUUGAGCAGAUGAUUCAGAUUCUUGAGGACAUGUUGCGUUGUUGCAUCCUCGAAUUUCAGGGUAAUUGGGAAAAAUACCUUCCAUUGUUAGAGUUUGCCUACAACAAUAGUUUCCAAACAAGUUUGAAGAUGGCACCUUAUGAGGCCUUGUAUGGUAGGAAGUGUCGAACUCCAUUAUACUGGAUAGAACUUAAGGAAAAUGAAAUUCAUGGAGUUGAUCUGAUCAAAGAAACUGAAGAAAAAGUUAAAGUGAUACGGGAUUGUUUAAAAGCUGCAUCAGAUAGGAAAAAGUCUUAUGCUGAUUUGAAAAGAAAGGAAAUUGAGUUUCAAGUUGGAGAUAGAGUAUUAUUGAAAGUAUCUCCAUGGAAAAAGGUAUUAAGAUUUGGUCGGAAAGGUAAACUGAGUCCACGAUUUACCGGACCCUACGAGAUCACCGAAAGAAUUGGACCGUUAGCCUAUUGUUUGGCGUUGCCACACGAACUGGAAAAGAUUCAUGAUGUGUUUCAUGUAUCCAUGUUAAGGAGAUACCGAUCAGACCCCUAUCAUGUAAUUUCACCGACUGAGAUUGAAAUUCGACCAGACAUGAUCUAUGGAGAGGAACCGGUUUAAAUAUUGGCUCGUGAAGUUAAAUAGUUGAGAAAUAAAGAUGUGGCUCUUGUAAAAGUUUUAUGGCAUCGACAUGGUGUAGAAGAGGCUACAUGGGAAGCAGAAGAAACCAUGAGAAGUCAAUAUUCGAAUCUGUUUUCUGGUAACCCUUUCGAGGACGAAAGUCCCUAAGGGAGGAGAAAUGUAACAUCUUGAAAUAGGGCCUAGUUAGAAUAGUGGUUUCGGGACCACAAAUCCAACAUCAAGAUAUUUAUUUCAUGAUUAUUAUGAGGCCUAGAAUAUGAGUAUACGCAUAUGUUAAAGUUUCAUGAAGAAAUUCUAAGUAUAAGGUGUCCUAUUGGAAAUUAGAGACUAAAUUGAAUAAAUUGCAAAACUUAGAUUCUAGAAGCAAUUUGUAUGAAAUUGCUUUAGAUUAUGAAUUAGGAGGUCUUGGAGAGCAAUUUGCCCAAAUUCUAAAUUUUUGGACAAAAAUGGGCUUGCAUGGAUGAAAUUUUAAAGAAAGGGUAUAAGGGCAUUUUGGUCAUUUGUCAUUUUAAUGAAUUAAAAUGGGAAAAAUCAAACCAAAAUCAGCCAUUGUCUCCUUCAUCCAGCUAAAAAUUUGGGGUUCUCCAUAGCUAGGGUUUCAAGCUUUCCAAGCUCAAUAGUAAGUGCACCCAAGCCCAGUUUUUCAUGUUAUUUGUAUUUUUGAAAUCCCGGUAGCUUGCUCUCUCCAUUUCUACCCAUAUUUCAUGCUAGGGUUCAUGUUUAAAAAUUUACCCAUGCAUGAGUUGUUUUUAUUUUGAUGGAUUAUGGAGGAAUAUGAAAGAUGAAUGUAUAUUAAACACAUUUUCCUAGUUGAUUUUCAUGAGAAACCCUUAUAAGGACUAUUUUGCAAAAGAUGUAAAUGUGUGGUAGAAAUGAGAAAAUAAUGAAAAAUGUGGGCUACUAUAAGAAGGAAAAGUGUUCGGCUAGGCUUGGGUAAGAUAAAAAGUGCAUGAGUUUCAUUAUACGAGCAUAGGGAUUAAAUCAUAAAAAUAAGAAAGGUUAGGGGCAAAACGGUCAUUUGGACUAGGGUAGAUAUUAAACUUGAAAUGUAUAAUGUGGGGUAUUAAUGAGUUAAUUUGGCUAUAUAGACCCUGAGGAACAAAUCCCAAAGGUCGAUCGUGGUAAACUUAAGGUUUCAGAAUAACCAAAACAUAUCUCUGAAACGAAUACCAGGUAAGUUCGGAUAACUUAAAGUAAACCCUUAAUAUGCAUAAUUGUAUGAUUUAUGAAUGCUUGAUGAUUGCAUUUAUUAUUGGCAUGAAAUUUUGUGAAUACUGAAAGUGUAAAGUUCAGAUAAUGCCUCGAGCCCUAAUCUGGUGUUGGAUACGGGUGAGGGGUGUUACACAUUGGGUAUGUCAAUGAUGAGAAUAAAUAUGAAACUAUUACAAGAUGGUACAGGUAUGUACACAAAGCUUAUGUUCAGAAAAUUUGUGGAAUGUUAAUUUCAAGGAAAGUUCUGAUGGAAUGAAUUAUGGUUAUGAGAUUUUGGUAAAUUGCAUUACCUUAUGUUAAAUUACUUGCAUGUUAAUGUAUGGUAAGGUUAGCUUAUUUCUUUCAUACGAGCUUACUAAGCUAUGUAGCUUACUCUUUUUUAUUUUCCAUGUUUUAUAGUGUCACCAAGCUAGCUCGGAUUGGAGAUCGUCGGAGUUCACAUCACACUAUCAAACUGUUAUUUUGGGUACCGAUGAUUUUAAACAUUUUGAAAAUGUGGCAUGUAUAGGGACUUGGUCAUUUUGUUAUAUGUGUCACUAUGAAUUUGGCCAAAUGUAUUGUCUUGUAAUUGUCAAUGGCUUGGUGUGGUGUUUGGCCAUGUAACUUGGCUUAUUUUGGUUAAAUUGGUUGUAAGAUAUAUAUAUUCAUAUAUGCAUGCAUGUACAAUUACCUCUUGUCUGAUGAGGUUUAUAAAUGCUUGGUAAAUGGUUGAAUGUGGCUUAAUGGUUUUGUUGUUGAAUGGUUAAGAUUGUCUCAUUGAUAUGAUAGGAAAUCUGAGUAAAAAAUUUGCAUGUUAUUAGUAGCCAUAUUAGAACUUGUGGAAUGUGAUGUUUGGUAGGAUUUGGUUUGGCAAAAUAUGAUGUUGUAAAUAUGUUGAGUGUGAAUAAUGAAGUGACAUGGUUUGACCUUGUUCGUGGAUGUUUUGGUUGCCUAAAUAUGCCAUGAUUUAUGCCAUUAAGAUUGUCGGUGUGUAUGUGCAAAUGAGGGUAACAAAUGGCUUGGUAAAUAGCCUUUAUUUUUUCCAUACGAGUAGACAUACUGGCGUGUGUUUAGACCGUGUGUGACACACCGUCUACCCCAUGGGCAUGUGUUUUGGCCAUGUGUCCCCUGCACCUUAAUUUUGAGAAACAGAAUGCUCAGAAUUGAGCACACGGGCGUGUGUCUCAGCUGUGUGAGGGACACGGCCUCUGGCACGGGCGUGUGUCCUGAUCGUGUAAAGUCUGCACCUAUUUUAUGAAAAUUAAAUUAAUCAGAUGACCUAGCACAUGGGCGUGUGACUCAGCCGUGUGACCUCAAUUUGUUCAUGCUUUGCAAAAUAGAGAGUUAUACUAGUUAGGGACACGGGCGUGUGCAUGGCCUACCCACACGGGCGUGUCCCAAACCACACAGGCGUAUGACCCCUGUUCAUAGCAAAAAAAAAUUAUGUUUUACAAAACAUCCUAAGUGCUCGGUUUAGUCCUGAACCACUUCCAAAACAUGUUUUGGGCCUCGUAGGCUCGUAUUAGAUACUUUAUGAUUGAAUACAAAGGAUUUUAAAUUUGGAUGCAAAUUUAUGACUUGGAAUUUUAUGUUUGCUUGUGAUAUAAGUCCGGUAAUGCCUCGUAUCCUGUUCCAAUGUUGAAUAUGGAUAAGGGGUGUUACAGAGAGAGGAAUCGAAGCGGACCCUAAGAAGAUUCAAGUUAUCUUGGAGAUUCCCCUUCCGAGGGAAAUAAAUGAUAUUUAACGACUAACUGGAAGAGUGGUUGUGCUUAACAGAUUCAUGUCACAAAUGGCUGACAAAUGUUUGUCUUUCUUCAAGGCCCUACGCACCUCUUUUUCCUGGAUAGAGGAGUGCCAAGAAACGUUUUAGAAUCUCAAAGAAUAUCUCAUGUCCCCACCAUUACUAAUGUCACCUUAUGAAGGAGAGACCCUUUACUUAUACCUCACUGCGUUUGAGGUCACUGUGGAAGUUGUUUUGCUUAGGGCAAAGGGUGUUUGACAAUUCUCGAUUUACUAUGUUAGUAAGGUGCUGUAAAAUGGUGAGCUCAGGUACAUGAAAGUUGAUAAGCUUAUUUUCACUUUAAUUAUUGCAGCUCACAAACUACAACCAUACUUCCAAGCCCAUCUCGUGGUAGUUAUCGUGACACACGACCUAGUACAUAGGUGUGUGGUUAAGUCAUGUGUCCCCUGCACCUUAAAUUCGAGAAAAUAGAAUGCUCAGAAUUGAGCACAUGGACAGAGACACGGGCGUGUGUCUCAGCCGUGUGGGCUACACGGCCUCGAACACGAGCAUGUGUCUUGGCUAUAUGAAACCUGCACCUAACUUCGAAAGAAUUUAAUUAACCAUAUGGCCUAGCACACGGGCGUGUGGCAUGACCGUGUGCACAAGUCAGAGAGUUACACGGGGUCGAACAUGGCCUACAGCACGGGCGUGUCCCAGGGUCACACGGGCAUGUGAGCCCUGCACCGUAGAAAAUUUUUGAAAUGUCGCAAAAUUUUUUUGAAGUUUCCGAUUAAGUUCUGAUUCGAUUUUAAUGCUCAUAUUGGGCCUCAAUGGUCCAUUUAAGGGAUGUUUUGAAUAAUCUCAAAAAAUGAACAGUGAUUGACGUGAUUUAUCUAUAAAUGUUCUAAAAGUUUAAGUAAUACUCUGUAACUUUGUUCCGGUGACAGAUACGGGUUCGGGGUGUUACAUUUAGUGGUAUCAAAGCUACGGUUUAAUCGAUUCUUAGAUUUAAUGUAGCAAACACGAGUUUAGCUAUACAUGCCAUUAUAUAAUUCGAGAUAGUGUGAUGUCUCCUAAUCAUUUUAAAUGUGUUUUUUAUAUAGUAAUAUCAUCCAACCAAGCUAGAGUUGAAUCUAAGGAAGUUGGUAGCAAUUCUUCAGCUUUAGUUCAAAGAGUUGCAUCUGCAUCUAGUAGUGAAAGGCCUAUAUCUGAGGGCCGAAGUGAGGAUGCAAAAUAGGUUUUCUUUCAAUUGAUGAAUGAAUGGUUUACCGAGUACUUAAGAAUAAACCCCGUUGUACAACGACCUCACCCACCUGCUCCUGAACUGGUUCUUGAGGUACCACAGGGUGCUGAACCCACUAGAACAGGUAAGCCUCCGGUAGAUAAAAUCCAUAAGCAUGGGGCGGAAGAAUUUAGGCUACCGUAGAUGAUGAUUUAGAAAGGGUUGAAUUUUGGUCGGAAAAUACCAUCUGGGUUUUUGAUGAAUUAUCUUGUACACCUGCUGAAUGUUUGAAAUGUGCAAUAUCUCUACUGAAAGAUACAAAUUAUCAUUAGUGGAAUACCAUAACUUCAGUUGUUCCAAGAGAGAACAUUACAUAGGAAUUCUUCCAGGCUAAAUUGAGGAAGAAAUAUGUUAGUCAGAGAUUUAUGGAUCAGAAAAAGAAUGAAUUUUAGAACUCAAGUAGGGAGACAUAACUGUAUCUGAGUAUGAACAAGAAUUUGUUCGGUUGAGAAAAUAUGCCAAAGAAUGGGUUCUAACUGAGGCUAAGAUGUGUAAGCACUUUGACGAGGGUUUAAAUGAAGAUAUCAAGUUAUUGAUCGGAAUUCUCAGAAUAACAGAAUUUACGGUGUUAGCAGGUCGAGCACACAAAGCUGAGGAAUUGAGUAAAGAAAAGAAACAACCUAAAAGAGAGGCUCGAGUUUCUGGAAAUAGGAUUAUGAGAAAGUCACAAUCAUCUGCUUCUAAGAAAAUAAAAAAGUAUUAUGAUCGUGUUACUACCUCUACGAGGUAUUCUGAAAAAGAACGAGGCUCUCAACGCUCUAACCCGAGGUCUUCAUCUCCUUUUUUAACAAGCAUAGGUAGUGUCGGUAAUCCCAAAACAAAGUGUAAGCAUUACAAUAAAUUUCAUUUUGAGGAAUGCCGUUUGAAAGUGGAGCUUGUUAUGGAUAUGGUUCAUUUAACUAUUUUCUCAAAGAUUGUCCAGAAAGAGUUGAAAAAGAAAUAGGACUAGCUCCAAAGCCAAGUAAUCCUGUUUCGAGAGGCAGACCACCCUAUCACCCCGAUGAUGUUAGUGGUAGUCGAGGUACUACUAGGGAUAUAGUAGUUAGAUCUGAGGCACGAGCACCUGCAAGAACAUAUGCUAUUCAUGCUAGAGAAGAUGCCUCUACACCAGACGUCAUUACUAGUACAUUUUCUCUACUUGAUACUGAUAUUACUGCAUUGACUGAUCCUAGUUCUACACAUUCAUACAUAUGCACAAACUUAGUGUCUGUUAAAAAUUUACCUGUUGAAUUCACUGAAUUUCUGGUUAAAGUUUCAAGAAAUUGUCUGCUCUGCAAGAUCAAGCCGACUAUGAUGACCAUAGUCCCAAGGAAGUAAACCGGAGCCCUGCCAGUCCCGAUAGAGAUGAGAGCCCUAACAGAAGCCAGUACUGAAGCUGUUUUGACGGCAAUGGUCGCAGCCGAAGUCCCAAUGUGAGAGAAAACAAUAGUCCUGUUGAUGUCGAAUAUGAUUACCCACUUACACCAAGAGGAAAAGAGUCACCUUAAAUGCCCCCUUCCCCCGCCAUUGCAUGAGAAACAAAAUUUCCCUCACGCGCGACAAAUUGGAAACGACACUCCGAUAAGUUCCUAGUCGAAGCUUUCAGAUCCCAGGUAAGCGGCCAAGUUUCUGAGUAGUUGUCCUAUUUUGAGUGGAUUUUGUUAAUGACCAGUCUGGAGUCACUUUCAGCAAUAACGUAUCGGAAGCCCAUUUCCGAUGCAAACUGAACACCAUGCUUCAAGGUCAUAUCACAUAAUGAAAUCUCUGUUGAUCCAUGGAAAUAAUAGGUAAAAAUUUCACCAUUAAAGUUCAUGGUCCAUUAAUUUUGGAUUGGAUGUUGGAAAUAGUGGUGGGAAUAUAUGGUCUGUGACAGUCCUAAUUCGACCCUAGUCGGAAUGUGGUUUCGAGGCCACAAGACCGAGUCCUAAAAUUUAUUUAAAAAUUUGGUUGCAUAUCCUCUAUGUGUAUUAGUGCAUGUGUGAAAAUUUGAUGUUUUAAUUUAGACUUAUGAAUGUGAAUUUCAUGUGAUUGACUUAGUUGAGAACUUAAGAAAAUAUGAUAGGGGGAUAUGUAAGGACCAAAUAAUAACAAAGUGAGGAAACUUGGGUUUGCAUGUCAACUUGCCCAAAAACCCAAGUAGUGGCCGGCCAAGCCAUAAUGCCCAUCCACUAGGUUGAAUUUCAAUGCAAUUCUUUUAUUAGUUAGCAAUUAAAAUAAAUUAAAGAAAGGAAUUAAAAAGAAAAAAUGAAUAAAAUAAGGAAGGAAGAGGGAGUAUUCAUCUUCUUUCUUUUCUUGCAAUUGCCGUGAGUUAGGAGAAGGAAAGAAGAAAUGCUCUAGACAUUCGGCCAACUCAAAAGGGGUUGAUUAAGCUCAAGAAGUUAAAGAAGGAGAAUCAAGCAAAGGCAAAGGAAAGAACAUCGAGUAGCCGAGUUGGAACCGUUUUACCCAACACAAGGUAAGUUAUUAAGCAUAUAUUUUGUAUUGAUUUAAAUAAUCAUAAUACUUAUGUACUUAUGCCGAAUGGGAUGAUAUAUAAAUGCAUGUAGUGACAAAAUUAUCGAUUGUAAAAAGAAGUGAGAUGUAUUGAGUUGUUGAUUUCGGCACUAAGUGUGCGGGUAUAAACAUUUACGAUAAUGAGAUUGGCACUAAGUGUGCGAGUUUAAUUGUAUAGCACUAAGUGUGCGAGUUUCACUAUUAAGCACUAAGUGUGCGGACUUACUAUAUAUUUUCGAAUAAUUAUUAACGCUAAGUGUGCGACUUUAUCGAGUAAAUCAUGGACAUUGGAAUGAGUAGAUAUUUUGAGUUCAUAAGGAAUAGACGUUAUGUUUAUAUUUGGAAAUGAGCUUGGUAAGUCUUGAACCUAUGUGGUGAUUAUAUUUGAAGUUAGGAACAUAAGAUUAUUGUGGAAUAGAUGAAAUGCUAUUAUUAGUAUAAUCUAAACGAAAAUAAAAUGAUGUGUGGAAAUGCAUCAAAUAUCAUAUCGAAUAUCAUACGAGAUGUCAAUGCAGGCUUGGCUAGUUGAGAGCAUGUAAUGAUAAAUGUGCGUGAAAUUAUAGCAUAGUCGGUAUGGAUGGAGUACCUAAUCUUGCAAUUUCUACAAAGACAAUUAGAAGUCAUACCUUAUAUGUACAGAUUCCUUAUUGAGUCUAGUUUUAUUAGGGACAAACGGUAUCAUCAUUGAAUCUCUGUACAGAGAGAUAUCUGGUUCGUAAUACACAGAGGUCAGAGUAGUCGAACCCUGAAACAGGGGAGACUUUAACUAAUAAACUGUACUAAUUGGACGGACCAAAAAUUGUGGAAAAAUUUUAGUAGAUAGAUAUAUGAGUCUAGUUUCAGGAAAAAUUUACAGAAUUAAAUUUUGAGUUUCAGAACUCAAGAUACGAAUUUUUAAGUGACUAUAAUGCAGAUUGACAGUUUGUCUGGGAGUUUUAAAAUAAAUUGUUUGAGCUGUAUAAGUGAUGAAUUAAGCCAGAUUACACCUCGUGUUCGAUCCCGGUGACGGCCACGGUUUCGGGGUGUUACAUUUUAUUGAUAUCAGAGCUAUGGUUUAGUCAGUUCUAGGACUACCAUAGCGCGUAUGAGUCUAGCUAUACAUGCCUUAAUGUUAGUGUUUAAUAGUGUGAUGACUUCUAACGGCUAAAAUUUUUGUUUUGUUUAGUAAAUGGAUCCCGGCUUAGAGAGAACCUUAGCGGAUGACGUUGAAAGUGUAGCGGUUGCUCCUGCGCAAGGGACACCGCCUGUUGAACCUCAGUCAUCUGCGAAUAAUAAAAAUGAGGGGGCAAAACAGGCCUUCUUUACUAUGAUGAACGAGUGGGUCGCACAAUAUGCCCGCACUAAUCCGGCUGCCCAACCAUUUCUGAAUUUAAAUAAUCCACCCCAGGAGCCUAUAAUGCCAUCGACUACUGAUCCUGUAAGGCCGAGUAAACCACCUUUAGACUUGAUUAGGAAGCGCGGGGACGAGGAAUUCAAAGCCGUAGUUACUGAUGAUGCUGAAAGGGCCGAGUUCUGGCUUGAUAACACCAUCCGAGUUUUUGAUGAACUGUCCUGCACACCUGAUGAGUGUUUAAAGUGUGCUAUAUCCUUGUUGCGAGACUCAGCCUACUAUUGGUGGAGGACCUUGAUUUCCAUAGUCCCGAAGGAACUAGUUACUUGGGAUUUCUUUUAAACAGAGUUUCAAAAAAAAUAUAUUAGCCAACGGUUCAUCGAUCAAAAGCGUAAGGAAUUCUUGGAACUUAAGCAAGGCCGCAUGACAGUAUCUGAAUACGAACGUGAGUUCGUAAGACUCAGUCGAUAUGCUCGGGACUGUGUAGCCGAUGAAAUUGCUAUGUGCAAAAGAUUUGAGGAAGGAUUGAAUGAAGAUUUAAAGCUACUAGUGGGUAUUUUAGAGAUAAAAGAAUUUGUAACACUAGUUGAACGAGCUUGCAAGGCGGAAGAACUUGGAAAGGAGAAAAAGAAGGCAGAAUCUGAAGAUAGAGACUUUCGUAAAAGAUCAACGAGUAGAACUCCAUUCUCAACUAUAAAGAAGUUCAGGGAGGACACUCACAAACCGAAGACGAAUGCUGGAAUUUUUAUUAGGACACAACCAUUAACGGACUCACGAGCUACUUCGGUUGCUAGUGUAGGUAACAAUCGCCAAGAAAAACCUAAAUGUCCACAAUAUGGAAGACGACACAUAGGUGAAUGUUGGGGUAAGUCCACUAACAGGGCCUGUUACAGAUACGGUUCGAAGGAUCACUUCAUUAAAUAUUGCACGAAAUUCAAUCUGAGACCCGUACUCCUGCUAGGGCAUAUGCCAUCCAUGCACGAGAGGAAGCAUCCUCCCCUGAUGUUAUCACUGGUACUUUCACUCUUUUUAAUACUAAUGUAAUUGCAUUAAUCGACCCUGGCUCUACUCAUUCUUAUGUAUGUGAGACUUUAGCAUCGAGUAAGACUCUGCCUAUUGAGUCUAUUGAGUUCGUAAUUCGAGUGUCAAAUCCCUUGGGUCAAUAUGCGCUUGUUGACAAAGUGUGUAAGAGAUGCCCUCUAAUGAUCCGAGAAUCCUAUUUUCCGGCCGAUUUGAUGCUUUUACCAUUUGAUGAAUUUGAUGUUAUUCUUGGUAUGGACUGGUUGACCGUAUAUGACGCAGUGGUGAGUUGCAAAAAAAAACCAUUGAUUUAAGGGUGCAAAUAAUGAGAUAGUCCGAGUUGAGUCUACUGAUUUAAGGGGAGUGCCAGCAACAAUAUCCUCGAUGAUCGCUCGGAGAUAUGUGAGGAAGGGGUGUGAAACAUAUCUUGCGUAUGUAUUUGAUAGCAAAGAGACGGAAAGGAAACUCGGAUCGGUACCGGUGGUUUGCGAGUAUUCAGAUGUUUUUCCUGAGGAGUUACCGGGGUUGCCACCUGUUCGAGAGGUAGAAUUUGGCAUCGAACUUGUACCUGGUACCACACAAAUCUCGAUAACCCCGUAUCGUAUGGCAUUAACAGAAUUAAAGGAAUUGAAAAUUUAGUUGCAAGAAUUGACAGAUAGAGGUUUUGCUCGACCGAGUUUUUCACCAUGGGGUGCACCAGUAUUGUUUGUGAAAAAGAAGGAUGGAACCAUGAGGUUGUGCAUCGACUAUCAUCAGUUGAAUAAAGUAACAAUAAAGAAUAAAUAUCCGUUACCGCGUAUUGAUGAUUUGUUUGAUCAAUUGAAGGGAGCCUCAGUGUUUUCAAAGAUAGAUUUGAGGUCGGGUUAUUAUCAGUUGAGAGUUAGAGACUCAGACAUACCCAAAACUGCUUUUAGAACGAGAUAUGGUCACUACGAAUUCUUAGUGAUGCCGUUUGGGCUUACUAAUGCCCCUGCGAUAUUCAUGGAUUUAAUGAAUCGAAUUUUCAGACAAUACUUGGAUCAGUUUGUGGUUGUGUUUAUUGAUGAUAUUUUAAUUUAUUCCCAAGAUGAAGCUGAACAUGCCGAGCAUUUGAGAUUAGUAUUACAGAUUUUACGAGACAAGCAAUUAUACGUGAAAUUCAGUAAAUGCGAAUUUUGGUUGAGAGAGGUUAGCUUUUUGGGGCACGUCGUAUCCGCAUCGGGAAUUAGAGUUGAUCCGAACAAAAUUUCGGCCAUACUCGAUUGGAAACCUCCGAGGAAUGUUACUGAAGUUAGGAGCUUUUUGGGACUUGCCGGAUACUGCCGACGGUUUGUAAAAGGUUUUUCAAUGAUAGCUGCACCAUUGACGAAACUACUUCAAAAAGAUGUUGAGUUUGAAUGGUCAGGAAGCUGUCAGGAAAGUUUCAAUCGACUAAAAACCUGUUUAACUGAAGCUCCAGUGCUAGUACAGCCGGAGUCCGGUAAAGAGUUUGUCAUUUAUAGUGAUGCAUCCUUGCUUGGGCUAGGGUGUGUAUUGAUGCAAGAAGGUCGAGUUGUGGCUUACGCGUCGAGACAAUUAAAGCCGCAUGAGAGAAACUAUCUGACCCAUGAUCUUGAAUUAGCGGCCAUAGUGUUCGCCUUGAAAAUAUGGCGACAUUACUUGUUUGGAGAAAGGUGUCAUAUUUACUCGGACCACAAAAGUCUUAAAUAUUUGAUGACUCAAAGAGAUCUGAAUCUGCGACAAAGACGCUGGCUUGAAUUGUUGAAAGAUUAUGAACUUAUCAUUGAUUAUCACCCGGGCAAAGCUAACGUGGUUGCCAAUGCUUUAAGUCGUAAAGCGUUAUUUGCUUUGAGAGCGAUGAAUGUUCACCUGUCCGUCUCACCCGAAAAUGUGCUAGUAGCUGAAUUAAAGGCCAAACCAUUAUGGAUUCGUCAAAUAUUUGAAUCCCAAAAAGUCGACGAUGAAUUGAUUACUAAACGAGCUGAAUAUGCUUCGAAUGAGGAAUCGAAGUUUCGGAUUGACGACAAUGAUUGCUUGACAGUCAAAGGUCGAUUAUGUGUUCCAAGAAAUUCGGAACUUAUUUCGAUGAUUUUGAAUGAGGCUCAUAAUAGCCGAAUGUCUAUCCACCCGGGUAGCACAAAAAUGUACAAUGAUUUGAAACGUCAGUUUUGGUGGUCUGGUAUGAAACGAGACAUCUCUGACUUUGUGUCGAAGUGUUUGAUAUGUCAACAAGUGAAAGCGGAACAUCAAGUGCCUUCGGGAUUACUUUAGCCAAUCAUGAUACCCGAAUGGAAAUGGGAUCGGGUAACAAUGGAUUUUGUAUCUGGUUUACCAUUGACACAAAAUAAGGAAGACUCGGUCUGGGUUAUCGUUGAUAGAUUGACAAAGACUUCUCAUUUUAUCCCUGUCCGUACAGAUUUUUCGCUUGAUAAAUUGGCAGAAUUGUAUGUCUCUCAGAUUGUAAGAUUACACGGGGUACCUAUUUCUAUUAUGUCGGAUAGAGAUUCGAGAUUCACCUCACGAUUUUGGAAGAAAUUGCAAGAAGCUUUGGGUACCAAGUUGCAUUUUAGCACCGCUUUUCAUCCACAGACUGAUGGUCAAUCCGAAUGGAUAAUUCAGAUACUCGAGGAUAUGUUGAGAUGUUGCAUCCUUGAGUUUAGUGGUUCAUGGGAGCGGUAUUUACCUUUGAUUGAAUUCGCGUACAACAAUAGUUUUCAAUCAAGCAUUAAGAUGGCACCUUACGAGGCUUUGUACGGUCGUAAAUGCCGUACACCAUUGUUUUGGACCGAGCUCGGUGAAAGUAAAAUUUUCAGAGUCAAUUUGAUUAAAGAUGCUGAGCAGAAAGUAAAAAUAAUUCGUGAAAGUCUGAAGGCAGUAUCAGAUCGUCAGAAGUCGUACGCGGAUUUGAAACGAAAAGACAUUGAGUAUCAAGUGGGAGAUAAAGUGUUUCUAAAAGUUUCGCCUUGGAAGAAGAUACUCAGAUUUGGCCGUAAGGGCAAAUUGAGUCCGAGGUUCAUUGGGCCAUAUGAAAUAUCCGAACAGUUGGUCUAGUUACAUAUAGAUUGAUUUUACCCCCCGAACUUGAAAAGAUUCAUAACGUUUUUCAUGACUCGAUGCUUCGACGAUAUAGGUCCGAUCCAUCACACAUAAUUACUCCAUCUGAGAUCGAAAUUCAAUCGGAUUUGAGUUACGAGGAAGAACCGGUUUGCAUUCUAACACGUGAAGUAAAAGAAUUGCGAAAUAAGAAAAUCCCAUUAGUGAAGGUACUGUGGCAUAAACAUGGGGUCGAAGAAGCUACUUGGGAGCUCGAGGAUUCGGUGAAAGAACGUUAUCCAAAUUUAUUUGCUGGCAAGAUUUUCGGGGACGAAAAUUUUUGAGUGAGGGAGAGUUGUGACAGUCCUAAUUUGACCCUAGUCGGAAUGUGGUUUCGAGGCCACAAGACCGAGUCCCAAAAUUUAUUUAAAAAUUGGUUGCAUAUCAUCUAUGUGUAUUAGUGCAUGUGUGAAAAUUUGAUGUUUUAAUGUAGACUUAUGAAUGUGAAUUUCAUGUGAUUGACUUAGUUGAGAACUUAAGAAAAUAUGAUAGGGGAAUAUGUAAGGACCAAAUAAUAACAAAGUGAGGAAACUUGGGUUUGCAUGUCAAAUUGCCCAAAAACCCAAGUAGUGGCCGGCCAAGCCAUGAUGCCCAUCCACUAGGUUGAAUUUCAAUGCAAUUCUUUUAUUAGUUAGCAAUUAAAAUAAAUUAAAGAAAGGAAUUAAAAAGAAAAGAUGAAUAAAAUAAGGAAGGAAGAGGGAGUAUUCAUCUUCUUUCUUUUCUUGCAAUUACCGUGAGUUAGGAGAAGGAAAGAAGAAAUGCUCUAGACAUUCGGCCAACUCAAAAGGGGUUGAUUAAGCUCAAGAAGUUAAAGAAGGAGAAUCAAGCAAAGGCAAAGGAAAGAACAUCGAGUAGCCGAGUUGGAACCGUUUUACCCAACACAAGGUAAGUUAUUAAGCAUAUAUUUUGUAUUGAUUUAAAUAAUCAUAAUACUUAUGUACUUAUGCCGAAUGGGAUGAUAUAUAAAUGCAUGUAGUGACAAAAUUAUCGAUUGUAAAAAGAAGUGAGAUGUAUUGAGUUGUUGAUUUCGGCACUAAGUGUGCGGGUAUAAACAUUUACGAUAAUGAGAUUGGCACUAAGUGUGCGAGUUUAAUUGUAUAGCACUAAGUGUGCGAGUUUCACUAUUAAGCACUAAGUGUGCGGACUUACUAUAUAUUUUCGAAUAAUUAUUAACGCUAAGUGUGCGACUUUAUCGAGUAAAUCAUGGACAGCGGAAUGAGUAGAUAUUUUGAGUUCAUAAGGAAUAGACGUUAUGUUUAUAUUUGGAACUGAGCUUGGUAAGUCUUGAACCUAUGUGGUGAUUAUAUUUGAAGUUAGGAACAUAAGAUUAUUGUGGAAUAGAUGAAAUGCUAUUAUUAGUAUAAUCUAAACGAAAAUAAAAUGAUGUGUGGAAAUGCAUCAAAUAUCAUAUCGAAUAUCAUACGAGAUGUCAAUGCAGGCUUGGCUAGUUGAGAGCAUGUAAUGAUAAAUGUGCGUGAAAUUAUAGCAUAGUCGGUAUGGAUGGAGUACCUAAUCUUGCAUUAUUUGUUUUCUUUUAUGAUAUUUUAUAAAUGGACAGCAGUGUAAUGCUUAUGACUUACUGAGUUAUAUACUCAUUCGGUGUGUUUAUUUGUCACUUAUUUAGGUUCCUUUGAUCCAUUUUUGUGUACUCGGGACCAUCGUCAAAGUCAUCACACCAGCUUGCAACUUUUUGGUAUCUUCUUCUUAGUUGGUCUAAGAGAACAUUUCGGCAUGUAUAGGCUAUUAUGUUUUGUUUGAACUUUGGUAUGUAUACUUUUAGCCAUGCUAAAAUGGCAUAAAUGUUAAGUUGGAUUUGGUCUUAUGAUACUUAGUUAUAAGCAAUAGUUAAAGUCUAUUUGAUUAUUAUGCCGUUUGUCAUGGCUAAUCAUUUUCGGUGUUACACUCAUGAUAUGGUUAUUGAGUAGUAGGGAAAUGCUUGGUAAUGAUUAGCCUUUGGUAUGGCUAGUCAUGAUCAUACUUGGUGAUAUGUUUGUUAAAUUACUCUAAUAGGUAAAAUUUUACUCUAAUAAUAGAUGCAGACAGCAGUAGUGAUGUGAAAUUGAAAAAUCACUAAAAAUAGUAGAAAUGGAAUUAAAUAAUGAAUAAAUUAUGGAAUCGAAGCUUGGUGAGUCUAUUUUCACAUGAAAGAAGUAAAACAAGAAUAUGAGCUAUAUUUUAUGAGAUAUUUAAAAUCCUGUGAAACAGGGUAAGAACGAUUUCUAGAUCCCCUGUUCCGAAUUUGGAAAUUCACCAUAAUUUCUACAAAGACAAUUAGAAGUCAUACCUUAUAUGUACAGAUUUCUUAUUGAGUCUAGUUUUCUUAGGGACAAACGGAAUUGUCAUUGAAUCUCUGUAUAGAGUAGUCGAACCCUGAAAUAGGGGAGACUUUAACUAAUAAACUGUACUAAUUGGAUGGACCAAAAAUUGUGGAAAAAUUUUAGUAGAUAGAUAUAUGAGUCUAGUUUCAGGAAAAUUUGUAGAAUUAAAUUUCGAGUUUCAGAAUACAAGAUACGAAUUUUUAAGUGACUAUAACGCAGAUUGACAGUUUGUCUGGGAGUUUUAAAAUAAAUUGUUUGAGCUGUAUAAGUGAUGAAUUAAGCCAGAUUACACCUCGUGUUCGAUCCCGGUGACGGCCACGAUUUCAGGGUGUUACAUGGUCCAAUAAAAGACAACCUCAAAUAGACCAAUAGGCCACUCUUUAUUAAUCUGGACUCCAAAAGUCUCAACCCCAGCAACUAGUAGAGAAAUUUAAGACUUGAAUUCAGAAUUGAAUGUCUACAAUGAAAAUAAAAGUUGUUUCUAUAAUGAAAAUAGAAAAUAUUUUCAAGAAAAUGAACGGAACCUAACAUUUUCUCAUUAAUCUAAGGAUGAGCAUUUGAUUGAAUCGAGUGAAAAGAAUUCGAGUUAAUCAAGUUCACAAGUCCUAUUUUAUCAUCCUAACUCAAUUUGAAAAUUUUUCGAAUCGAGUCGAGUCGAAUCUAAUGAAAUUGUUCGAGUUAAAUUUUAAAAAAUUAAACACGUCAAAUAAAAAUACUAUAACCCCCUGGGCUAGUGUGUUAUGGUGGAUAAAGACUGUAAAAACUAUCCGUUGAUGGUAAAAGUUAUUGCUUUUAGGUUGACUCGAUGUUAUUGUCAUUCGAUGAAUUUGAUGUAAUUUUGGGAAUAGAUUAGUUAACCCAAUAUGAUGCAAUGGUGAAUUGUAAACAGAAAUAUAUUGUAUGAAAAUGUCAGAGUGGUGAAUUACUUCAUGUUGAAUCUGAUAAACUAGAUGGAUUACCUAAUGUGAUUUCAGCAAUAUCAGCACAGAAAUAUGUCAAAAAGGGUUGUGAUGCUUAUCUCGCAUAUGUUUUGGAUACUAAGGUAUCGAAGUCAAAGAUUUAGUCAAUGCCAGUUAUAUGCUAAUCUCCUAAUGUAUUUCUAGAAGAAUUACCUGGUUUACCCUCGGAUAGAGAAGUAGAAUUCUCUAUACAUUUUGUUCUGGGUACAACACCGAUAUCCAUAGCACCUUAUAGAAUGGCUCCUACUGAAUUAAAAGAGCAGAAAGUACAGUUGCAAGAAUUGAUUGACGGAGGUUUUGCUCAACCUAGUUUCUCACCUUGGAGUGUGUCGGUUCUGUUUGUAAAGAAGAAAGAUGGAUCGUUGAGGCUGUGCAUUGAUUAUAAACAGCUCAACAAAGUUACAAUGAAGGACAAGUAUCCAUUGCCUCGUAUUGAUGACUUGUUUGAUUAGUUAAGAUGUGCCACUGUAUUUUCAAAGAUUGAUCUCCAUUUUGGUUACUAUCAACUACGGGUAAAAGAUUCAGAUGUGCCAAAGACAGCUUUUAGAACCAGGUAUAGUGUAAUAGCCUGAUUUUCAGGCUCAUUGGAACAGUGGUUUUGGGGACCACAAAGCUGACAUAGAAAAGAAUAUAUUUUUAUUACAUUUUUAUGGUCUUUAGUUUUAUGGAACUAUUCUAUGAAAAUCUCGUUCCAAAAUUUUGAUGUUUGGGCACUCAAUUUAGUCAAAAGGACUAAAUCAUAAAAAGUGCAAAAGUUGAGUUCUACUUGUUAAAGGUGUCCAAUUCCUAUGAGAUUUUAAAUUAGAGGUCCUUAGUUGGUAAUUAGACCAUUGGAUGAGUUAGUGGACAAAAAUGGAUAAGAAUAGGUAAAAUUUCAAAGUUAUGCAUUAAAGGCAUUUUGGUUAUUUGGUAAAUAAAAUAAUAAAAAGGGAAAAUCAAGUUAAAGUUGUUGUCCAUCUUCUUUUUCAUGUGUUGAAAUUUCCAUGCUCACCAUAGCUAGGGUUUCUUCAACUUUCAAGCUUCAUUGUAAGUACAUCCUAGCCCUGUUUUUAAUGCUCUUUCCAUUUUUGAAGUCCUCGUAACCCGAUUUACCUAUUUCUACCAUUAUUUUGAAGUAGGGUUCAUGUUUAAAAGCUUACCCAUGUGUGACAUGCAUGUAUUUUGAUGUUUGAUGGAAGAUAUUGUAUGUUUAAGGUGUGAUAAACCACUUUUACUAAGUGAUUUUUAGUGAAAAUGCAUAAAAAGGACUUAUUUGUAAAAGUUAUGAAAAUGGGUAGUAGAAAUGUGAUUUGAUGAAAAAUGUGGGUUGUUAUGAGCACGAUUUAGGUUUGGCUAGGCUUGGGUAACAAAGAAAAUGGAUACAUUUCAUUUUACGAGCCUAAGGACUAAAAUGUAAAUAAGUCAAAGUUUAGGGGCAAAAAUGUAAUUUUUCUAUAAGUUGAUUUUUGGACAACAUCGGGUAAUGUGAUAAUUAAAUAAGUUAAAUUUUCUAUUAUAAAUCAAGAAAAAUGAAGUUAGGACCUUGAUCGGGGGAAAAUAAGGUUAUUGAUGAUUAGGUCCAUUUCCUACCAUUUUGUACUGAGGUAAGUUUUUGUGUAAAUAAAACAAUGUUAUAUUAUGUAUUUAAUGCUUAAUAUUGCAUAAAUUGUAUGAUUGUUUCUAUGCAAAUAUUCAACGAAGUUUCAACGAUGAGAAAAUCCCGGUUAAACCUUAAGAAUAGUUUAGGAUACAAGUGACUGUCACUAGGAAACCAUGUGUUAUGUGAUCUAUGUGAAUCCGGGUGCUGGUCAUGUACGUCUUACAGGUGGCUAGGUAGUCCAACAUGUGUUGCGGAUACCUGACAGCUUGUGUGAGCAUCCCAUGUAGCUACGUCUUUACUGAAAGCUUGUGUGAGCAGGGCCCGUGAUUAGCUCAUAUGCGAGCCCUAUGUGUUAUGAAAUAUGUGGUAGCAAUGGCUACAUAUGUGGCACUUAUGUGCAAGACCUCCCGUGUAUCCAAUAGUAUUCCAAGUGUUCAACGGGUCAUCCGAAGAGUAUGUCAAAGAUGAAAAAGUAUGUGACUAUGUUACAAGUUGGUACAAGUAUUUAUGUAAAAUCCAUGAGUAUGAAAUUUGGUGUAAGAUGAACUCUUGGUAAGAAUGCUAAUGAGUAAGUUAUGCCUAAGAUACAUGAUGAUAUUUAUGUUAACUUAUGUUGAGUAGUUAUAUGAUUAAUGAGUGAUUUAUGUUGCUUAUUAUUUGCAUGCAAACUUACUAAGCUUUAAAGCUUAGUCCCCUUUUCUUUUCAUUCCUUAUAGUGUUGCCAAGCUAGCUCGGGGGUUGAGGAACGUUAGAGUUCGAUUCACACUAUCAAACGAUUGUUUUAGGUAUACUUGGUUUCAAUAUUUUGAGUAUGGCAUGUAUAAGGACUUGGUCAUUCUGCUAUGUGUCAUAUUGGUUAAGCCAAAUGUGUUGACAUUGUUAUGGUUAAUGAUUCAUUUUGUAUAUGGCCUUUGAAAGCUAGUUAAUAUUAAUUUUAUUUGUCAUUGGUAUGUUAUUGUGAUGAUGCUUAUCAUGAAAAUGAAAUUGGCAUGAAUGGAAAAUAAAGUAUGUGAUGUUUAUGCAUGAUAGAUGUUAGUAUGUGCAAAUGAUGUAUUGAUAUCUUGUUGUGGCUGAGUUGGUUGAAUGUAUAUGCUUGGGAUUGUGUUAUGUUUUCUAGUGUAGGUUGGUGCAAAGUAAGGGUGGCAAAAUAGCUUGGUAAAUAGCCUUAUUUUUUUCCACACGGGCAGAGACAAGGUCAUGUGUCUCAGCCAUGUGAAGGACACAACCUAGGGACAUGGGCGUGUGUCUAGGGCAUGUGAAGUCUGCACCUAUUUUAAGAAAAAAAAAUUCAAAAAUUAAAUUCGCCACAUGGCCUAGCACAUGGGCGUGUGACUUGGCCGUGUAACUUCCUUUGGUGCAUGACGUCAUAAACAGAGAGUUAAACGGAUUAGGGAUAUGAGCGUGUGUGACCACACGGCCUACCCACAUGGACGUGUCCUAAGCCACACGGGCAUGUGACCCCUGUUUUGAUGAAAAAUUUUCUAAGUGUUGUAAAAGUUUCUAAAGUUCUCGAUUUGGUCCCAAACCACCUCCACCUAUGUUUUGGGCCUUGUAGGCUCGUUUUAGGAACAAUAUGAUUAUAAAUGAAAAUUUUUAAAUUUGGAUGGAAAUUUAUGCCUUGGUUUGUAUGUUAGCUCAUGCUUAAGUCUGGUAAUGCCUCGUACGCUGUUCCGGCAUUGGAUACGGGUAAGGGGUGUUACAUUUGGUGGUAUCAAAGCUAUGGUUUAGUCGGUUCUUGGACUAACAUAGAGUGUGUACAAGUCUAAUUAUAAAUGUCGUAUAUAAAUUGUGAUAGUGUGACGACUCCUGACAAUUUUAAACUGUGUUUUCAUAUAGUAAUUGUAACACCCCUUACUUGUAUUUGACAUCGGAACAGGGUACGAGGCUUUACCAGACAUAAACCUGCACAAUCAUACAAGACAGAGAGAUGAAUUUGCGUCCAAAUUUAAAACUUUUCAUUCACAUGCAUAUCAUCCCUUAUAAGGGCCAACGAGACCCAAAACAUACAUUUGGUGUGGUCCGGGAAUAAACCGAGAACUUUCCGAACUUUUACAACACUUAGAAAAUUUUCUUAUCUUGGAGGGUUACACACCCGUAUGGGUAGGCCGUGUGGUCACACACGCCCAUGUGGCAUAGGACACGCCCGUGUCCUCAGCCCAUGUAACUCUCUGUUUAUGAUGUCAUCAACAAAAUAAAGUCACACAGCCAAGUCACACACCCAUAUGCUUAGGCCGUGUGGCAAAUUAAUUUCCAAAAAUCAGGUGCAAACUUCACACGGCCUGGGCACACGCCCAUGUCCUGAGGCCGUGUCUCUACAUAUGUAUUUACUACUGAGCAUUCUAUUUUACCUAAUUAGGGUGCAGGGGACACACGGCUGGAUCACACGCCCAUGGGGCAGGCCAUGUGUCACACACAGCCUAGACACAUGCCCGUGUGUCUACCCGUGUGGACAAAUACAAGGCUAUUUUCCAAGCCAACUACCAUCCUUAUUUGCACAAACACAUACAUGACUUCAAGGGCUCAUAACAUGGCAUAAUUAAGCACUUAAAACAUACACAAGCAAGAGAUGAUCAUGAUCAUUCAAUCUUUACUAAUACAUGCAUAAAACUUCAUACUUUGUCAAGCCAAAUUUAUAAAUUUGCAUGCAUUAAGAGUUGAAGUUUACUUCCAUUUAACAUACUCAUGUCUUAGUUAUUAUCAUGCCACUCACUCACAAUUCCAUCAUCAAACAUCCAUAGUCACGUCCACAAUUCAUCCAUGCCAAACAAUUUUAACCACAUAAUGUAUGACCUUGGCACAUGCAUGCAUAUAUGAAUAGAUUUACAACCAAAUAAUAAAUAUGAACCAUAUCUCAUGGCCAUAUACAAAAUGAAUCACCAAUUCGCUAUAAGCCAACACACUUGGCCAAAUUAGUAAUGACAUAAUUAAUCAAAAGAUGAAGUCCCUAUACAUGCCAUAAACUUAAAAUACUUGUGUUCACUUAUACCCAAAUGAUAGCUUGAUAGUGUGAUGGCAUCUUCGGCGGUCUCCAACCCGAGCUACCUAAAUUAACCUAUAAGACAUGGGAAAGAAAGGGGAGUAAGCUUCAAAGCUUAGUAAGUUCAUAUGUAAAUAAUAUACAACUAUUAAUAUUCAUUUACUUUAUCCAUCCGUAAAGAUACUAUUAUUACAAUUUGCAUUAAAUCCCAUGAUUAUCACUUACUCAUUCAUAUGCUUACUCUUUUAUCUUACAAACACUAAUUGUAUGUCUUGGCAUUAGACUAACAACCAUAAUCUCCCCAUUAUAACAUAUCACAUUGUUAGCAAGUUAUUCAACUCACUUAACAACAUGCACAUCAUUUACGAGUAAUCAUAAUUUUCACAUAUAGCUUAACAACCUUUCACAUAUCUAUUGAAUCACAACUUAAGUAUAUACAUCGUACUAUAUCACAAUUCAAUUAGGCUCAUAAGCCCAACACAUGAUUAUUUUUCAAUUCUUAUCAUACAUCCAUUCAUCAUAAAUGUAGAUCUUUAGUCACAAGGUUAUCAAUAUUUCACAUCAUAACUUUCUCGUAUGCAUUCUUGCCACAUAUUCAUCACUUACCAAAUUCACUUCACAUGAGUUCUUUGUACAUACCUGUACUGCUCGCAAUAUUGUCGCAUACUUUCUCAUUCUUAACAUACCUUUUGAAAUACAAUUUAAGCAUAUAAACAUAUUAGAUCACAUUUCAAUUCGGCCUAAAAGCCUAACACGUAAUCAUCAUUUAUAUUUAUCAUAUAUCCAACAUCACAAGUAUGUACACUAUCAAUCACAAUGGAUAAUAAACAAUUAUUUCCACAAUAAUCAUGAAUUUACAAUUAUAGGCUUACGUACAUGCCUGUUCACUGUAGUAAUUUCAUUCUCAUACUCAUCUUUGAUUUACCCGUUGAACCACAUGGAAUACUAUCACGGAAAGCUUGCACAUAUUGCUUCAUACAUAGCCACGUGCUACCUCAUAUCACAUAUCACACAUUGCUCGCUCUCGAGCUAAUCACAGGCCUGCUCACACAAGCUGACAGUCAGAACGUAGCUACACGGGCUGCUCACACAAGCUAACAGGUACCCGCAGCACAUGACUAGCACCCGGAUUCACAUAGUCACAUAUACACAUAAUCUCAUGAGCUCAUAAUCACAUAGCUCUUAGUGACAUGUCACAUUGUAUCCUAAAUUAUUCCUAAGGUUCAAACGGAAUUUUUCUCGAUAUCACAUAUUCAUCAAACUCGUUCACAAUCUCAUUGACCAUAAAAUAUUGCAUUAUUUACACAUGAACUUACCUUGACACCAAAAUGGCAAAGAGGGACCUAACUAUCAAUUACUUGUUUUCCCUUGUUCUAGGCCUGAAUAUCGUUUUCUUUGAUCUAUAACAUCAGAGUUAGCUCACUUGUUAGUCACAUUAUUCAAUGUGACCCAAAAAUCAUACUAUGGAAAAAUUAUAUUUUUGCCCCCAAACUUUGUCAUAUUUACACUUUUUCCCCUAGGUUCGUAAAAAUGAAAUUUAUUCAAUUUCUUUAACAUAAAAGCUUACUCGGAUCAUUUUCAUAGCCAUAACAGCCCACAAUUUCCAUUAAAACACACUUUUACUACAUAUUUUAUAACUUUUUUUCAUAACUAUAACAGCCCACAGUUUCCAUUAAAACACACUUUUACUACAUAUUCUAUAACUUUUACAAUUUAGUCCUUUUGAACGUUUUCACUAAAAAUCACUUAGCAAAAGUUGUUUCUCCAACCAUAAACAUGCAUAAUCUACCAUUAAACAUCAAAAUGCAUAAAUUUCUAACAUGGUUCAAACCCUAGACCUUCAUCAUAACUCAAAUAAAUGGUAGAAAUAGGUAGAUCUUGUUAUGAGGAUUUCAAAAACGUAAAAAUCAAUAAAAACGGGGCAAAAACGGACUUACAAUCAAACUUGAAAGCUUGAAAAUCCUUAGCCAUGGUUUCCUCUUGCAAAUUUCAGCCAAGGGGGAAGAUGAACAAAUUUUUGGGUUUUUAUUUUGUUUCUUAAGUCAUUUAAUUAUUAAAUGACCAAAAUACCCCUAACUUAAAAAUAUUCUCUUUCACCUAUUUCAUGUCCAUUUUUGUCCAAAAAUUAUCCAAUGGUCUAAUUAUCAUUUAAGGGCAUCUAAUUUAAAAUUUCAUAGAAACUUGACAUAUCUAGCUUCUAGAACUCAAGUUUUGCACUUUUUUCAAUUUAGUCCUUUUGACUAAAUUGAGUACCCAAACGUCAAAAUUUUCGAACAAGAUUUUCACGAAAUCAUUAAGUGAAAUUGUGGGCCAUAAAAAAUAUAAUAAAAAUAAAUUUCCUUAUGUCAGAUUUGUGGUCUCAAAACCAUUGUUUCGACUAGACCCUAAAUCAGAAUGUAACAGUAAUGGAUCCCAAUCGAGCAGUGGCAGAUGAUGUAGAAAGUAAUGCGCCGGCUCUUGCCCAAGGGACGGUGCCAGUUAAGAGUAGACCCGUAACUGUGAGUUAGAGAGGAGAGGCUUGGGAAGCCUUCUUCCAAAUGAUGAACGAGUGGUUCUCAGGGUUCGUUCUAACAAAUCCAGCUGCUCAACAACAACAUGCUCCACCCCUUCCUAAUCCUCAGCCUGUUCCCAUAGUGCCUCAAGGUAUGGAAUUUAUGAGAUUGAAUAGAACCCCGGUUGAUAAGAUCAAAAAGCAAGGGGCUGAAUAAUUUAGAUCAAAUUCCAAUAAUGAUCCCGAAAAAGCAAAAUUUUGGCUUGAGAAUUCUAUUAGAGUAUUCAAUAAGUUAUCUUAUACACCUGAUGAAUGCUUGAAGUGUGCUAUAUCUUUACUAAGGGACACAACAUACAACUGGUGGAAAACACUAGUAUUUGUGGUUCUGGAAGAGAGAGUUAUAUGGGAAUUCUUUCAAGAGGAGUUUCGAAAGAAGUAUAUCAGUGAACGAUUCAUCGGUCAGAAGCGUAAAGAAUUUCUUGAGCGAAAACAGGGUCGCAUGUCAGUUGGUAAAUAUGAGAGAAAGUUUGUUUGGCUCAGCAAGUAUGCUAGAGGGUGUGUCUCCUCCGAAGCUAUUAUGUGUAAAAGUUUUGAAGACGGGCUUAACGAAGACAUCAAACUGUUAGUGGGUAUUCUUGAGCUAAAAGAAUUUGUUGUGCUCGUAGGUCGGGUUUGUAAAGCAGAGGAACUGACCAAAGAAAAGAGAAAAUCUGAGUCUGAGGCUAGAGAUGCAAGAAAGAGGCCUAUAAGUAAGUUGUUCCAAUCGCAGUCUAUGAAAUCUAGAGAGAUGCAUUCUCGUUCUCAUGCUUCAGUUGGGUUCUCAAAUAGAAACAGUGGAAAUCAAUAUUCGAUUUAUAAAGCUCAGACUACUUUUAUUGCAAGCAUUGGUAAUCAACCCAAUAUAUCUGGAUGCCCACAUUGUGGAAGAUGUCACCCCGACAAGUGCCGAAUGAAUAACCAAGCUUGUUUCAAGUGUGGUUCCUAAGAUCAUUUCAUUAAAAAUUUCCUUGAGAUGACUGAAGAAGAAAAGUUUCAGAAUACAAGGCCGAGUAAUACUGCUUCCAGAGGGAGACCCCUGAGAAAUACUGGGAAUGGAGCUAGCAGCAAAAAUGUGAUGAAGGAUUCAGCAGGGAGAUCCGAAGCUCGAGCACUUACUAGGGCUUAUGCCAUCCGUGCUCGCAAACAAGUGACAUCUCCCGAUGUUAUCAUCAGUACUUUUUCCUCUUUAUGAUACUACUAUUAUUGCUUUAAUUGACUCGGGAUCUACCCAUUCAUAUGUAUGCAUGAAUUUGGUAAUUAGUAAGAAUAUGUCUAUUAUGUCUACGAAAUUUAUGAUUAACAUGUCAAACCCUUUAGGCAAGCAUGUAUUAGUUGAUAAAGUAUGCGAGAAAUGUCCUUUAAUGAUUAGAGGUCAUUGUUUUCUAGCUGACUUGAUGUUGCUGUCAUUUGACGAAUUUGAUGUUAUAUUGGGUAUGGUUUGGUUGACUAUGCAUGAUGCUAUAGUAAAUUGUAGACAGAAAGUCAUUGAAUUGAGAUGUGAAAAUGGUGAAAUUCUUCGGGUUGAGUCAGAUGAGUUAGAUAGAUUACCAAUUGUGAUUUCUUCAAUGUUUGCUUAAAAAUGUUUAAGAAAAGGUUGUGAAGCCUACCUUGCCUAUGUAUUGAAUACAAAAGAAUCUAAAUUUAAAAUUGAAUCAAUGCCAAUAGUGUGUGAAUAUUUGGAUGUGAUCCCGGAAGAAUUGUCAGGUUUACCUCUGAUUAGAGAAGUUGAGUUUAGUAUUGAUUUGGUCCAUGGGACUACACUGAUAUUGAUGGCUCCGUAUAGGAUGGCUCCAACUGAAUUGAAGGAAUUGAAAACGCAGUUGCAAGAACUGACAGAAAAAUGUCUUCCGAGACCGAGUUACUCUCCCUGGGCUGCACCAAUAAUAUUUGUAAAGAAAAAAGACAAAUCUAUGAAACUUUGCAUUUGUAACACCCCUUACCCGUGUCCGACGCAGGGACAGGAUACAAGGCAAUAUUAGACUUAAACACAAGCAAACAUAUAAAAUCGAGUCAUAAAAUUUUGUUCAAAUCAAAUCCAUUUAUAAAUAUGCAAAUUGUCGAAAACAUACAUCAGGAGUAGUUCGGGACUAAACCGAGAACUUUAGAAAACUUUGGGAAAACUUAGAAAAAUUUUCAUGAAACAGGGGCACACGCCCGUGUGGAGAUAGGAGACACGGCCGUGUACCCUCGACACACCUGUGUCCUUAGGCCGUGUAACUCUCUAUUUAUGAUGUCAGCACCAAAAAUAGUCACACGGCCGUGUCACACUCUCGUGUGGCUAGGCCAUGUGGUUGAUUAAAAUUUCAUAAUUUUUCAUAAAAUGGUGCAGACUUCACACAGCCUGGGCACACGCCCAUGUCUCCAAGUCAUGUCCUUCAUACGGCCAAGACACACACUCAUUUCUUAGCCCGCGUGUUUCCUACUAGACAUUCUGUUUUGCAAAACUAAAGUGCAAGGGACACACGGUCGGACUGCACACCCAUAAGGGUAGACCGUGUGUCACACAUGGUCUAGACACAUGCUCGUGCAUCUAUCCGUGUGAACAACUUUGAGGCUAUUUUCCAAGCCAUUUGCCACCCUCAAAUGCUCACUAACUUAUACAUUUUUAAUGGCAUGCCACAUAGCAUAUUUAGUCACUCAAAUACUCACAAUCAUGAUUAAUCCAUGACUUUGUAAUGUCAACAUAUCACAUGCUCAAACCAUUAUGCUUUCAUAUGGCAUUCCACACCAAUUUCAUAUUUAUUCAUCCUUAUAAACCUACCUUCAAUCUACUCAAUUAUACCAUAGCCAUGUUCAUACCUAUUAGUCCUAAUUCAUUCAUUAAGCAUAUGUGCCAUUUAUCACAUCCAUUACCAACAAGCAACCAUCAACCACAUCACAAAGCAUAAACACAUUGUAUGCAUGCAUAAAUAAUUAGGGUUACAACCCGAGAUGCAAAUAUAAGUGACAUCUCAUGGCCUUAUACGAAAUGAAUCAUAAUACCAUCAGGAGCCAAUGCAUUUGGCUAAUCAAUAUGACAUAUAAAAAAAUGACAAAGUGUAACAGCCCGAUUUUGGGCCUAGCCGGAACAGUGGUUUCGGAACCAAUAACCCAAGGUCAGAGAAAUUAUUUUUAAUAUUAUUUUAUGUGUGAUGGAAUGUUUAUAAAGAUGCAUGAAAAUUUUGGUGAAUUAAUUUUAGCGUUUGUGAGCUUAAUCGUGAAAAAUGAAUAAAUCGCAUAAAGUUCAAAAAUUUUAAUUUAUAGCUAAGAGAAUUAAAUUGACAUGUACCAUAAAUUCAGGGUCUUUAAAGUGAAAUUACGCCCUAAAAUAGUGUUUUUCCGACCAUGAGACUGUAACACCCCUCACCCGUAUUCGGCGCCAGGAUAGGGUUUGAGGCAUUACCGGGACUUUACAUUUUCAAUAUACCAUCUCGGGUCACAAAAUUUCGCUCGAAUUUAAAACUUUUCAACCACAAACAUCUCGUCCCUAAUGUAAGCCUUCGAGGCUUAAAACAAUACCUAUAGGUAGUGCGGGUCAUAACCAAGAACAUUCGAUGCACCAUGGGCACCUUAGGAAAUUUUUCUUAUUUUGAAGUAUCACACGCCCAUGUGGGUGGGCCGUGUGGUCACACACGCCUGUGUGACUUGGGACACGCCUAUGUCCUCAGUCCGUGUGCAACACUGACUUUUCAAGACGGCCUUGGCACACGCCCGUGUGGCCUACUCAUGUUCAAUACUAUCUUUUAAACAUGGCCAAGGCACAUGCCUGUAUGGCUUGCUCGUAUUCAACAUUGACCCAAAAUUUUAAGUGCAGGGGACACACAGCCGUAGCACACACCCGUAGAAGUGAGCCGUGUGUCACACAUGGCCUAGACACAUGCCCGUGUGUCAAACCAUGUGAACCCUAAUAGACAAUUUCCCAAGCCUUUGGUCACCCCUUUUUACUACUUAUGCUUAGAGGUUACCAAAGACAAAAUAAAACGUAAUUAUACCCUUGCAAAUGAUCUUAAUAAAACUUAUUGGAUGGAGACCUCAUAUCAUUGGUGUCAAGCAUGCAAGGUUAUUUCCCAUCUAGUAUUUAUGGGUUUCCAUGUUAUUGUAACUCAUUCAAAAUUUGGCUCGUUCUUGUAACUCAUUGCCAACUAUGAUAAACCAUCAUAUGUAAAAAUAAGUAAACAUAGAAGUGUAGGUCGUAGCCUACUUCAAAAUAAGCCAAUUCCAAUGACCAUAAACAAAAAGAUAGAUAUACCUUUACAUGCCUUUACUUGGCAAAUCAAAUGACACAUAUAACAAAAUACUCAAAGAUCCUAUACAUGCCACUGAACAAAAUAGAAAUGUCUUUAUACCACAGCUGGACUAUUUGAUAGUGUUUUGGCUCGCCAAUCGUCUUCCAAUCCUCACAAGUCCUCGAGCUCUGAAAAAUAGGGAAAAGAGAGGGGUAAGCAUUUACAUGCUUAGUAAGCUCAAAUAAACGGAAAGUAAACUUACCUAGUAAUUAGCAUACAUCUAUAAUAGAUAAGGAAACCAACAUGUAUGAAAUGGUUCCCUAUCACAUGCACUCAACCAAUGAGUUAGCCAUAUAUCAAAGCAUCAUAUAACUUAUCUUAGACGAGCUCAUCAUUCAGUAUUUCAUUUUAUACAUAUAUCUCAUGAUAAUCCCGUUGAGUUUCUAGGAAAUCUCGAUGGAGUAUCCAUUAACCGUCAAUUCAUACAAAUGAUCAUUUCAGAUAUGCACUCCCGUGAACCUCACAUUUUAUGGCAGGAGUACCAGUCUAGGCUAAAUCCCUUAUUGCGACAAACACUCUUAAUGAGCUCGGAUCUAAAUUACCAGUCCAGGCUAAAUUCAGACCCUUAUUGGAUUACCCGUCCAGGCUAAAUCCAAAAUGCACAUGUAUUCUUUAGAAGGCUCGAUCAUUCAAGGAACACCCGUCCAGGUUAGAUCCUUUCUAUACUUGAGAUCACAGAUUACCCAUCCGGGCUAAAUCCUUACUACAACACAUGCAGUAUCUCAGUUCACAUGUCACUUAUGGUUUAUCCAUUAAUUUCCUUUUUAACCUCAACCGGGACAUUUAUCAACAUGUCAUUAAUAAGGAUGCAUUUCAUGUCAUCAAUAAAUGCAACUAUCAUACAUUCAUAAUUCAUACAAGUAUGCAUAUUAUAAGUUUACUUUGAGUCAUUCGAACUUACCUGGUAAUUGUUUUGGUUUUGUAUUUCGGUUAUUUUGAAACCUUUCGUUUUCCUCGAUCGACCUUCAAAAUUUAUUCCUCAAGGUCUAUAACAACAAAGUUAAAUCAUUAACACACUACAUUAUACAUUUCAAGCUUAAAUUCCACCCCAGUCCAAAUGAUCAUUUUGCCCCUAACCUUUCAUAUUUUUACGAUUUAGUCCCUAGGCUCGUAUAAUGAAACACAUGCAAUUUCUAUCUUACCCAAGCCUAGCCGAACACUUUUCUCUCUU